AGAAGUUGACCUCGUGCAUGUUGCGGUAAAAGGCACCACCCUGUCGCUCGUCGCCGGAGCCGAUGACGAUGUGUCGUGCCGUGGAAUUUGUGUCCAAGGUGUUUCGGAAGUGCGGCUUGAGAAGCUUGUGGAUUGGGUGCAGCACGCUGAGCUGCCGGUUCGCCGCGAUCACCACCGGCUCCAUCGUCGCGUGCGUCCUCAGCCUACACACACCACACAAACCAGUCAACAUGACAUGAGCACAUGCUAUGAUUCUCAUCACACUGAUUAGCGUAGUAAGGGUAGCGUACCAGUGAAGGACGUAGUUGUUCUUGCAGGCGUCGUUGGAGGCGGCGUGGGCCUUGGCGAGGUCCCACGCCGUGAAGGUGUCGGAGGCGGCUUCGCCGGCUUUGAGUUGGUCGGGAGGAGUGUACACGGUGCUGGUGGCGCCGAGGCGCUCAUCCUCUGGGUGCGGCGAGCUGAGCUCGAUCGCCAGCGGCUUGAGUGUGGAGUCGUCUUGCAAGAAGAAGAGGGUCCUUGUGGCGUACGACUUCCUCUCGGAGAUCUCGCCCUUCUCCUCGUCGCCUGGCAGCUCGUUGAUGCGCUUCAGGUACGGCAUCACCCAGUCGUGGUGAUCCACAACGUACAACCUGUCCUUUUCUAUAGCCUGCACAAUUCGCGCAGUGGUCCGAGAGCACACUUACAUUUUUGUGUUUGAAGAGAUAUUAACGGUUUUGCCAUUUCUUCUCAAUUAAGAAAAUCUUACUCACAAUUUGAAUGAUUUCACGGUUGCUAUUGCUAUUGGACCAUAUAUAUUAGGAACAUAUUUUAUCCAAACACUUUUACUUUCUUAUUUUGCUUUUUCUAUGAACAUGUGUGUGUGUGUGUGUGUGUGUGUGUGUGUGUGUGAUAUGAACAUAUAUUUCCUUUAUAAACUUGGUCGAAAUAAUUAUAAUGUUUGACUUUGAAGAAAUUUUACAUGCCUUAUAAUUUGACAAGGAAGAAAUAUAUAGUACGUAGGUACCUGCGCCACGGUCAUGUUUCCCAAGUUCUUCUCAAUGUGCUCUUUGGUUAUCUUGCUGUCUUGGUCACCAUACAGGGCCCGGUCAAGCUUGCUCGUGAGUGGGAGGCCGGUGACGAGCUCGAUGGACAGGGGGUUUGUCCCCGCGAGUGUUUGCCUGGCGAACUCUUCAUCGGUCCGCCAAGCUGUUCGAUUCGCUAUAUAUGUACACCAAAAAUAGGUUUGAUGAGUUCAACUUCCGUGGCAUCACACAUACAUACUUGAAGCUGAUAAGUUGAUCGAGAGACCGGGGUGAGACGACAAUUGCGGUACCUGAGAUGACCUGUGGGACGGGGAAUGCGAUGGGCUUGGCGUUGGUGUCGAAGAGGCCGUGGACAUCCGCCAAGGACCCGAAGUGGCCCUCGAGCUUGGGAAGGUUGGGCGCCUUGGCGACGGCGCCGGUCCGCUCGUCGCACGGGAUGUAGACCCCUUCCUCCAGCGACGCCCUCGUCUCGCUCGCGGGGUCUGCCUUGCUCGGAGGCCGGCUGGUCCUGGUCCGGCGAGGGUACGGGUACUCUUCGGACCCUCCCAGCACCGGGCGCGCCAGGUCCUCGCGCAGGUCGGGGUUUCCCAGGUCGUUGUAGAGCGCGUAGUCGUACACGCGGUCCCAUUUCUGCAGCGGCGCGUCUGCCGGCGCGCCCUCGCCCCGGAGCAGACGGAGCUCGUCUUCCCUGUCCUUGCGCAGCGCCGGCGGCGUCUUCUCCUUCACGUACGCCUGCACCAGAAUCACCAAACGUACGUUGUAGCUUAUAUAUGCAGGAAAACAGUUCACGGCAGCUGUGUGUUAGUGCACUCACGUCGUUGGUGAAGAAGAGGCGGUACGGGUGCUUCCCGACGGGAUAGACCCAUCCGUUGCAGACGAAGUGGACGGCCGGCGAGCUCAGGCUCAGCAGCUUCAGGUACACGGGGAAGUCGGAGUUGUUUGUCACGAGCACGGCGCCGGGCGCGCCCAGGGCCUCGUCCCACAGCAGCUCCACGUCGACCUCCGUCUCCCCGCUGGAUAUGACGGCGUCCAGCGCCGCCGCCUCCCCUCUCACGCCGCGCUCAUCACGCCCUGUAGUAUGUUUGUUAGAGUACUCACGGUGGUCUAACUUACGGCUGACCAUCUGGUUAAGCUACAAACAUGCUAGUACGUACGUACCGGCGACGGUGGCGCUGACGAGCUGGAGGGACAGCCUGAGCGGGCUGCUGGGCGAGUCGGAGCUCUGCAGCAGCAGCUUGCCUUGGACACGAGCGCUAGUGGCGGCGGACGUGGUCUGCACGUUGGAGCCGGCCACUGCACGCGUGGCCGUGGUGGCGCCAUGGCUUGGGCUGGUGCUCGGGUGCAAGAUUUUGAGCUGCGAGCGAGCCGCGGAAGGGACGAGCAUUGGACGUGGUCCGUCCCGGCGCUCCAGCGCCCCUGCAGGACGGAGCAUCUUCGCGGUCCAUCCCGGCGCCCCAGGGCCCGUGGCUGACGGAGCAUGCGGGCCGCGGGCACACGGACGUGGGCUGUGACGGAUCUGCAUCGGCAUCGAGUCGGUCAGGCGAGAGCGCGCUGAUCACAGGUAUGCUUGGUGCUGGGUGGAUGGCAUUGUGACUCGGGACACACAUAUAUAUAUACAUCGUCGGGAGAAAAAUGGCACCGAUGAUGCUGUGUUUUCUCUAGUUAUUUAUUAAUUCUCUAGUCAUUGAUCCUAAAAAAAACCCUAGUCAUUGAGUUUCAUUCAAACAAAUACGAUGCGUAAUACAUUUUGAAAUAAAAUUUUGUUUUACUUCCCUUUUACACACAUGUGUUUUUUCCAGCAAGAUCUUUUUUAAAACAAGACCAAAUUUGAAAUCAAUUUUUUGACAACUAAAUCACAAGGCUUCAAACUUGUUUCGUCAAAAUUCAUUAAUUCCAUGCGAAAAAUCAAUAACGUUUUAUUCCUUUUCGCAUAAAUAAUCUUAUUGUUUCACUAUGGCCCGUGUUCCAGAGUGUACCAUUAUGUUUCACCUUGUUUUAAAAUUUGAAUUUGAAAACUUGUUGAAAUAUAAUCACAAGUGGUCUCGUUUAUACCUUCUCGUCAUCAUAAACACAAAGAUGCAAACGGAUGCUAACAUAGACUUCCGGUUAAGAAGAUAAAAUAGAUCUAGACUUGGGAAUAAAAUGAAAAAGCAUGGGAUGGUGGAGCAUAGCUGAACAACAGUGAGAGAAAAGUCUGACCAACUAUAAGCAGUAAUCAUGAAUGCAUGCGAAUCUUCAAGAAAAUCAAUUGAUGCUACAUGCACGGGAUAUCUGGUGCAUGGUAGACAGGCCUUUCUCUGUAAAUGUACCGUUGCGUUAUCUACACUACAUCCUAGCUUCAGAACUCGUGCAGAGUCCAACCCAUGAUUUCCCAUUUUGUAUAAAAUGGAUACGAAAACCCUAGGUCCAUCGUCGUCUCUUCCUCCCCCGCUCCCUCACCUCGCCGCAACCCAACGUGCCCAUUGGCAAAGCUAGUGCAAGGUCCAUUGAUGGUGGAUGCUAGGCACUUGGUUGCUUGGUCAGUUGGCGGGGCGAAGUGAGGUCACCUGAUCUGGGAUACUAAGGUGGACACUGCUCAGAGGUACGAUGGCAAAGCAGCAGCAUGGUUGGUGGAGGCUUCAGGCGCCUCGCGCGUAGGUCAGGUGGAAAGUGGUACAUGUGUCGUUCCCCGCUGUUGGAUCUCCUCAUAUCCACCCACUUCCUUUAUCAUGGUAGCGAUUGGCCCCGAUCUCCCAUAGGGGUGGCGAUCAUCCGGUGUCUGUGCGCGGCGACAUUAUGUGAUGUGCAUGUGGUGCCUUCAGAUUGUGGUGACGACUAAGAAGCAAUGGUGUCAUUCCGAGGCUCUUCAGCGAGGUGUCAUCCUGACCCAGACCCUAUAUAUCCUCCUCAUUCCUACUUAACAACAGGAGUAAGUCUUUUUUUUUGCAAUUAAUCCAAUGGUGGUUGGUUACUAUCGAGAAGCAUAUUAUCCCAAUCUUUCCAAAUUUACCAAGAAGAUAACAAAAUGACUUCAAUAAACAAUGGCAUGGAUGAUACUUGUUGUUUUGUUACGUAGACAUUAGUGACGAUUAUAAAUGCUAACUAGCAUAGUGACCAUUUAAUUGUGUAGCUAUAUUUGUUACGACUUCUAUAUUGGCAUUGGUGUUUGUUCAUUGUAGCUUUCGUAUCUAUGAAUCAAAUUUUCAACAAUUUGAUAUACAUAGUCCUUUACGAUUUACAAGGCUUAAUCCACACCAUGCUUAUAAGUUAUAACUUAGAUUUUCUACUGACCAUUAUAUAAUUGUAUUAUUGUUUGUUCACUGCAGCACUUCUAUGUACAACUUAAAUUCACAUAAUUCUUGGUGAUUCAUUUAUUAGAUUUAAUCUACAUAGUUAUUAGAUAUGCAAUAUUUAUUCCCCACCAUCCUAGACUCAAAUCGUUAACCAUAAUCAGAAGCAAGAGAGUACGUAUGGACUUCAAGGUAGCUACAUUUUCUUUUCCGACCAAACCUAGGACCUACAAUUUUAUUUUAUUUUAUUAAUUAUAUAUGUAAGCUAUGUUGUUUUUCUUAUGGACCGCGGUUCCUUUUGUAUAUUCACUGUUCUUUUCUAUUUAUUGCCAAAAUAAAUCUUAUCCUAUGACUUAUUUUCUUAAUUAAAUUUCAAUUGUCAUUUAUAACUUAUUAUUAAAGCAAGUUCUAAUCCUCUGUUAUAACUUCAUAAUAAUCACAUAAUUUCUACUACUUUAAUAAUAUAAUAUAAUUCUGGAUAGAUACAUGUGAAUGGAGUAGUUAAGAGAAAAUUUGUGAAUGUCAGAGUGGGCAUCAGCAUAUUCUUAGUGGGUAGGGAGUUCAACGGGUGGUGAAAUUAGGUAGAGCCUCAUAGCCUCAUAGGUGUAUAUAUACAAGGUAGCAUGCUGCUUAGGGUUGAUUAAUGCUUCCCUUUAGGAUGACCCAAGUGAAAAGGGAAGAAAUUAAAGUAAUGAGAUAUGGAUCUCAUGACAUCGCUCGCAGCAUACACUUAACUGCUCUUGACUUUGUAUGCAAUUAACGAUAGAUUUAAGCAUGAAUGACAAACAUGAAGCAACUUCUUAAGAUGGACUAGUGCUUUAUUUAGUGAGGGCUCGGNNNNNNNNNNNNNNNNNNNNNNNNNNNNNNNNNNNNNNNNNNNNNNNNNNNNNNNNNNNNNNNNNNNNNNNNNNNNNNNNNNNNNNNNNNNNNNNNNNNNNNNNNNNNNNNNNNNNNNNNNNNNNNNNNNNNNNNNNNNNNNNNNNNNNNNNNNNNNNNNNNNNNNNNNNNNNNNNNNNNNNNNNNNNNNNNNNNNNNNNNNNNNNNNNNNNNNNNNNNNNNNNNNNNNNNNNNNNNNNNNNNNNNNNNNNNNNNNNNNNNNNNNNNNNNNNNNNNAUAUGUAUGUAGUGACAUAGCUUAGAUGUAGUGACAUCGCUUGCAGCAUAUUCUUGACUUUUGUACAUGGUUAACCAUAGAAUUAACUAUUAAGCACACAGGAAAACCGUGAAGUAUAGAAAAAAAGUUAAAGGUAUGCUUGUAGCUUAAUAAUGCAGUUCGUACACCAAACUAACUAAAAAAUAAAUCAUAUAGUGGCAUCGCUCCACCACGUACUCUUAACUCAAUCUGUAUGUGAUUAAUUAAAUAAAUAAGCACCCAGGAAAAACGUGAAGCAAAGUAACAAGUCAAAGUAUACCUUUAGCUUAAUAAUGCAGUUCGCAGAGCUAGCCUUGUCAUAGUCUAACAAAAAUCUUACAUCUUUAAUUACAUCGCUCACGACAUACUCUUGACUUUGUAUGCAAUUAACUACAAGAAUAAGCACUUAGGAAAAACGUGAAGCAAAUCGACAAGUCAAAGUAUACAUUUACCUUAAUAUUGUAGUUCGUACGCCAAGCCUUAUAAUAGUCUAACAAAAAUCAUAUGGAUCUAGUUACAUCGUUCACGACGUACUCCUAACUUCAUACACAAUUAACUAUAGAAUUAAGUACAGUAAAAAGGUUAAAUCAAACAAACAGGUUCAAAGUAAUACUUUUAGCAUAAUAAUGGAGUUCGUGCAAGAUUCCUUACAACUUUAAUAUGUAAUAUCAAACAAAUUCAAUAUAAUCAUCUUAUAGAAGGCCAAAAAAAUAUAUUUAUUAUAUUAUUAAAAUUAGAGGUAAAAAACACUACCUUCGUUCACACCGAGGCUAAAUAAUUUGCUUAGUUGAUUGCAUAGUAAGUUCUAGUUAUGAUGGUCAAGGUUUAAAAACUAGACAUCAAAUGUGGAAGGUAACUUAUGCAUGCUAAAAUUAGCAUUGGCAUCAAUUGAGUCAAUCCGAAUGACAAAACUUUUUGUAACGGAACAGAUUUUAACAGUGCAAAUAAGACCAUACAUACUCGUCCACUCUAGAAAAGAAGUUAUUCUUACUUGGUUUGACAAAAAUACUGAAGGACAUAACAUCCAUGGCUAACCCAUCUGAGAGAUCACUUAUAGGUUAUAUAUGUUCAAUAAAAUCAAUUACCUCAUAUGCAGAACGUCUAUCAAAAACACUUAUUUCCAAAUUGUAUAUUUAUGUGUAUAUUAUCAAUUGAAAUUGUUUUAUCAUUAAAGGAACGAAAUUUUAAGUGUGACAAAACCUUCUUGUGCUUAUUAUUCAAGUGAGGAGGAUGUAACACAAAACUGAAAAUCAUGCUUGGGUCUAACCCGAUUAUCCUUAAAAUAAAAAACCAUUUUAGUUUUUUAGUGUAAACAUAGAUGUCCAGUUCAAUGAUGUGACAUUGAUUUACAUAUGAAUUUUAGAAUGAGAGCUAACGGUACCAGGCUUCAUGGAAAAACAUCAUAUGGAAACCUCAAUACAUAAUUAAAAACAAAAUGUAUGACAUCAUCAUCAUCAUCAUCAUCAUCAUCAUUAUUAUUACACAUAUGAACAAUGCAUCUCCCUUUGUAUAUGACAUUCGAAAUACCAAUAAAAAGGGAAGUAAAAAAUGUGCUCCUUAUAAAAUACAUCGAUAGUCCAUAAAUAAUUAUGCUAAGAAGAUUCUAUAUAUAAGGAAACUAGUUGGUGGACAAACGAACACCUACUUUCUAUGUACAAAAUUUUAAUAUUACUUUAGAUUAGGAAAGUAUGCAAUAUAUAACAACAGAGGAAAGAGGCCAACCUAACAUGCAUAAAAAAUAUUGACAUGCAUGUAUGACCUGUGUCGAUAUAUACGGUAACAAGAAGUGGCCCGACUCUGAUGAAGGAGGGGCGAUGACAGCGGCACACCUUCGGCUCGCUCCAGUGUUUGUAGUCAUCGCUAGGUGUUCUACGGACAUUGAUGUAACUUUUAUUGCUUUUUGUGUUCUUUGUACUGGCAUGAUAAUUGAUGAAUAGAUCGGAAGUUUUUCCGCAAAAGAAAAAGUGGUUGAGAAAACAUAUCGAGAAGAUGGCAUACAUGCCAUCGGUUCACACUCGAGCUAAGAUUUGGCCACAUUAUUAGGUCAGUAGAGGGUACUCCUGAAACAAACCCAACGAUGCCCCCACAUCAUCUGUUUGGGCAACACAGGAGGCUCUUCCACAGCUAGUCCAGAAAGUCCCCUCCCUGCCCGUCCUCUUCCUGCCGCUGCCGAUUCACAUCGCCGGGGUAAAACCCUAUGCGGUGGACGACCUGAUGGGCUACGACGGCCAUCACUGGUGUGGCUCCUACGCCCAGAUCUGGAUGUGCCUCUGUGCGACCGCGGGCUUCCUACAUCCUCGCGGAGCGCGGCAGCGUGUGACCCUGGAGCUGACAUAGCGCUCUAGUCGGGAGGCGUUGUUCUAAUAUUGCGGUUGUGUCCAGUGGUGUGCUCCGUCAUCGGUGUUUGUCCUAGUGGUGACCACUCCGGCCUGUGGCGGCGGACUUGUUGCAGAUUGCGGUGGCCACCAAAAGAUCUUAAUGAGGGUACCUCCCUCCAGAUCCGGCGGUUGACUUCAGCAAGGAGAUGCAAACUAUGGAUGAUGGCUUGACGCAAAGGGAUGGUCGUGCAACGAAGGCUGUUGCAGAUCGUGUAUAGUUGCUGGAAUGAUGGAAAAAUGGUUGCGAAAACACAUAAGCAACAUUGAUUCUUGGUGCUACUCGGGCUCCUAGUCUCGAGCUCACGUGCGAAAGCCUAGGUCUGACCUGUGUUGGUUAUACAUGGCAAUGGCAAUGUUCUUACGUUGUUACCUUGUUGAAUGCAUUGUUCGGAAUAUACUUCGACUAAUUCUUCUGGGUGAAAACCUAGUUUCUAACCUAGUGUGAUUGAAUGCGCUGAUGCCAACAUUUGUGUGUCGUUUCCUUCUUGUAUGCGUUGUUGUUGAAGAACCUCGCCGUCCAUGUGGUGUCAUGAAGUAUUUAGUGCGGAUAUGGUCAUCGUUAUAGCUUGCCAUUCGCGAAUUAGGUCGUUUUUUUUCUUUUCUCCUCACCUAUGCAUAUCUUUGGUCUUAUAUGACUUUGCUAUUUGUCGGCAUGUUUUUGUGUGAGUGUGUUGGUGUUGGCUGUGUACAUCCUACAUAUGCAGAGGCCGGAUGUAUGCUCACUGUGUUUGUAUCCUCUUGAUGCUUUAUUUUGAGCAAAAACAUUCAUCAAUUGUCAAAAAAGAAAAUGCAUGUCAUCGGUGAGAACAACUGACGGAUUCAUGGUAAUAUGCUAUGUGUGUGAUCGAGAUAUCAUACGAGACAGAGAACACGAUGUUGUGGUGGCAACAAUAAAGGUUGGAAUCACAAAUCAUGUCAAGUAUAGAAUUAACCAUUUUAGUUGUGCUUAAGAAUGCAACUGACACAAACAACAUGUGCAGAAUCAGAAUAUAUAAAUACAAGCUCAAGUAGUUAAGUGCUAGAAAAUGAUUACAUAAUUUCGCCAGAGUAUGCAACGAUGAAUAAAUGAAGUUAGAUGACAAGGGACAAUAUAGAGUAGUGUAAGGUGGGGGGAGACUAGUAUAUGAUCAGUCCUUUAGGCGAGAUCGUAGGAUCAACCCAAACAUUUCAUAUUUAGACAAUCCAAAAAAUUCUGAAAAAAUGUACGACAUACCUGCAGGGUAUGUCUACAACUUCAAAAAAACAUCAGCUCAAAACUUGAUCUACAAUUAGAGAUUCGAAAAAGACAAAUUCGACUAUGAAUAGUGCCAACUUUGGGGUGAAUAGUAUUUGAUACUAUUCACAUGAGUUUUUGUCUUUUUUCAUCGUCUAAGUGUAGUUUGAAUUAGGAGCUGAAACUUUUUGAGCUUGUACAUCACACAUGAAUGUGUGUCUUCAAAAAAAUUCAUAAUUUUUGGUUUUAUAUCUUCAAAUUUUUUGAUCUCAUUGUGUGGAGAAUUUAGGUAUAUAAAUUGCAAUCCGUAUUUUUUGUUAAUUAAUGUUGCAAAAGAUGAGGCGGGUGUAUGAAGAGAACGUAAGUUUGAAGUCGAUCAAAUAGUUGGUUGAAAAUCUCCAGAAGAUAUUUAAAAUCAUUGUAACGAUGUGAUCAUGCUUUUGUUUCUAACUAACCACCGUUGAUGAACCAUGCAUAGAUAGAGAAAAAUGUGUGCACUCCAACUUUUCUACUACCAUUCUUCUAAAAAAAAGUUUUCUACCGUCAACACAGAAAAUUAUUUCAAUUUUUCAAGUAAAAACUGUAUAGUUUUAGUCCUCCAAAUUUAUAAUUUUGUCCAGGUAUGUUCAUAUAGAAAACGCUCACCAAAGUUGUGCAGCCGGGACCAAGCCAAAAUAUAUCUAAGACGUCACAUAUAUGGCAUGAAUAAAUAUCUAGCCGAGAAUGCUAGUUGCCGUAGAAAAAGCAUAAGCAACGCAAAAUAUAAUGACUUGGCGGAGUACCAUUGAACGCCAUCCACAUCAGCAACUCAGCAACUGACAGUGCCACGACUUCUCGUACGAUCAUGCGGCCGCACUAUUUUGGCACGCAUUCAGCACCUGUGUAUAGUACUAUUAUAGCAGCUGUGCAGUUUUGGUUUUGUGUGAAGUGGCCGAGACAGAUUUGGAUCAUGCGGAAUCGUGACCUCCACACGCAGAAUAAUGCAACGAUGACAGAGUUUGUAUCAUGCGGGCGUGGAUCGCGUGUGGCAUGGCAGAGGAUAGGGACGCCUUAUCUCCACCGCGGAGCCGAGGCACCGCAUGUUGCAUCGCCACGUGCGUGUGUAUGCCAUCGGUUGGCAGCUCGUGAAACGUGCAUCGCGUGUAGUAGGCCCACGACCACAGUGACCCUGAACGUGCUACCGCACCUUGCGCUACCGUGCUACGGGGUAACCAGGGCCGUUAGAUCUGUGAUCCAACGGAGAGCGUCGCUGGAUGUGAUUUCCUUUCAACCUUUUAAUCUUCCUCCAUCUGUUUCGUUAGUUCGUUAGAUACAUAUUUCUCCAACACACUCGGUUCUUGCAAUUGCAAUGACUUACCUAAGGUUUGAUUUCAUUUUCGGCUCCUAUGGUUAACCCCGUUUGUUCAACCAGGUUUUUAUACGAAACUUAGAACGUAAUAUUUUCCGUUCUUCUUUUUGAAACUUACUGUCACUUAUGGCGUGCAUAUUUAUUUUGUUCAUGGGCACACACAACUAGUGGGCCCUAGCUAGCCAACAUUUGUUUUCGCUUGCGGAAUCGAAACAUGUCUUAUCUUCUUUUUGGUUGCUCUCUUGCUCUCGCCUUCUUCCUUUCUACUACGAUCCUGUAGAUCUACUUUCUUUCGGCUUCUACUGAACGUUUCUACAACCGGUUGCCGCAAGUCGACGUCCUCGAGUAUCGACAUGUAUUACGCUAGUCUCGGUGGUUCUUCCCAUGUCGCUCCAAUUUGUGGCAACCAAGAAAACCCCAAUGGAGGUCGAUGCAGUUCAUGAAAUGGAGGUAAAUUACAACGUACAGAUCUUUAAUUUCCUGCAAAUCACGAGUGCGAUAUUACCGCCGACUAAAUUGGUUGUUCAUUAAUUUCUAGUCUGUAAUGACUGUAGGGGAUUGUGUCGCGGUCAUUACGCUAUUAGAAAGAAGUCUUUAUCCUUGUUUUUCCCAGCGGCCUACAAAGAAAGAACGGCAAGUUUCUAAUUGUAGUUCAAAUAUUCUUCAUAACUUUUUUCCUCAAUUUUACUGCACACUGCUAACCAUACUGCUGAACAACAUCUUUAAUUAAAUUUCUGUUCACUGGACAAGACGUUCAUUGAGGAAAAUAUAUGUCAACGUUCUCUUCCUCAUAAUUACUGAAUUUUCACCCUUUGGCAAACACACAUUUCCAUUCAUAACAUUAUGUAAUUUUGCAAAAUGGUACAUCAGUGUAUUCAGAUACAUUGACUCUGUUUUGCAUACCAUUUCUGUACUAUCAAUCGCCCAAUUUCUAAUGAAGUGUACAUAUCCUUCUCUCAAAUAAUGUUUUUAGUAUAUUCUCUCUUAAAUUCAAUAGGUUCUCUGAAUGAAUAUAAUCUUUAUGUUCCUUUUUAGUAACAUCUUUUCCUUUUGUUAAUGUUUCCCAGGAAAUCCCCUGCUUUACAAGAAAAGAUUUCUUAAAAAAGAUUGGUAUUGCAAAAUCUGCUUUCACUCAAGUCACAACUCCGCUUCAGACAAAAGAAGGGUUCACUUUUUUGUUAAUGUGAUCAACGAACAAGACACAACUUAUUUUACCGGCAGGUAUUGGAAACAAUUCUUGGAAUUGUACCGGCUUUGGGUGGUAAAGAAAUGAGCGUCACUUUAGCUGGUGACACCGAUCGAUCAAACUGGAUAAAGCACACAAAAACAUCAUUUAGAGCAUUGAUACUACAUUUGGAACAACAAAAACCUGGGAAGACAUUGGCCAUGCUAACAAGUUUAUUAAGCAUAUUCAGAAUCCUGAUGAUACAUUUGUUCUGUUCCUACACACUUUCAUGAAGACUAACAUUAAGAAGAAACUCCCGGUGCGCUUUCUAUUGUAUAUUAUGUUUCGAACCAUCUUCUGUUACAUUAUGUACAACUUUUUUUAUCAUAAUUUUCUUUUGACAGAGACUACCGAAAAGUGCGAUGCCUAACAUCACCAAUGAAGCAGGCUUUAUCAAGAUUAUUUUGGAUCCCACUAUAGAAUUCACAUGUAUGUACACAUGUUCAAUCGAUGAUCGUGUCAUUGUCAAAGGAUGGCCAUAAAUACUCAAGCUGACAAGAUUUAAAGUUGGAGAGAAACUCUUGUUCCUCAAGCAGGAGGAUACUAAAGGGGGUCUCCUGUUUGUUGUUUCAAUUUCUAUGUCCACUUAGAUUUAUCUUACGAUGUUCCAACUGUAUGGAGAAACCCUAUGUGUAGGGGAAGUUGCAUGGAAAACAAAAAAAAAGUCCUAUGGAUUCACACUGGUAGAAAAAGGGUCAUUUGUCCUGGUUCUGGAACCGGGACUAAAGGGUCGUUACUAAAGCCUCCCCCUUUAGUCCCGGUUGGUAACACCAACCGGGACUAAAGGUAUUUUUACGAUUUUUUUAUUUUUUAUUUUUUUCGAUUUUCAAAUUUCUGAAUUAUUUUCCAAUUUAAUCUCUAAUCACCCCUCAUCACUGCUCAAUUUAACCUCUAAUCUAUAAUCACCCCUCAUCAUUCCAAAUCAUCUAACUUCCCGACCGGUCACCGAUCCUCUCACUACUCCAAUCUGAGCACGCUUCACUUCCGGGUUCUAUUUCCCCUCGUUUCCAAGUCUGCACUUAUUGUUUUACUCACAAUAGUAAGAUGUCAAUCCUAUUAACCCUUAGGAGUUUAGCUUGAGCAUAAAGUCACACGUUUCACUGUUUGAGUUUGAAACUAUUAUUCUAAAAAUAAUAAUUAUUUAGUAACACUAAUAUUUCUUAAAUAAGUAGUUUGACCAUAGUUUGACCACCGUUUGACCAGAUUUGACCAAAAUUCAAAAAUUGAAAUAAUUAUUUAGUAACACUAAUAUUCUUGAAUAAUUAUGUAGUAACACUAAUAUUUCUUCAAUAAAUAGUUUGACCACAGUUUGACCAAAUUUGACCAAAAUUCAAAAAAACUGUAAUAAUUAUUUAGUAACACUAAUAUUCUUGAAUAAUUAUUUAGUAACAUUAAUACUUCUUGAUAAGUAGUUUGACCAAAGUUUGACCCGAUUUAACCAAAAUUCAAAAAAAAUUGAAAUUUGAGCAUAAUUUUUUUCCUUUUAGAAUUUGAGGAUUCUAAAAAUUUGCAAAAAGGCCGUAGGCUGUCAAAAUCGGAUGCGGAUUUUCGUGCUGAACAUUUUGAUAUAUUAUACUUUUUCGACCUCGUAUGCAAAAGUUAUAGCCGUUUUACAUUUUCCCUACACUCUUUGCAAAACAUGUCCAAAUUUAAGUUUUUAAAUUUUCCUAACUAGUAGAUGUAGUAAUAUAACUACAUCUCGAAGGAUUUUAUUUUUUGAAGUUUUUAUCAUUUUCUUUUUCUUUUUACAAAAUUGAAAAGGCAAUCCACUGGGGGGUAGAGUUUGAAAAUGGGACCCCUUUAGUCCCGGUUCGUGUCUCAAACCGGGACUAAAGGGCUCAUUUGAACCAGGACUAAUGCCUUUAGCCGCACGAACCGGGACCAAUGCUCACACUAGUCCCGGUUCGUGACUGAACCGGGACUAAUGGGCUUAUCUGGCCCGAACGAAAGCCCUGUUUUCUACUAGUGUCACCCAAGAUCUAAUCUAGGAGAUGCUAGCAACGAGAGGUACUGUGUCUACAUACCCUUGUAGACCGAAAGUGGAAACAUUCAGCGAACAUGGUUGAUGUAGUCGUACUCUUCACGAUCCAAUCUGAUCAAGCGCCGCACGAACGACACCUCUGAGUUAUGCACAUGUACGGCUCGGUAACGUCUCAUCCUUCUUGAUCCAGCAAGCGAGGGGAGGGGGAGAUAGAUGGGAUAUAGGCCAGCACGGCAUCGUGGUGGUGGAGGAAUUUCUGCAGGGCUUCGCCAAGCAACUACGGAGGAGGAAGUGGAGGGAGAGAGAGGACGUGACAGUGAGGUGAAUGGGUGGGUGUUGAAGGAAAUAUGCCCUAGAAGCAAUAAUAAAGUUAUUAUUUAUUUCCUUAUAAUCAUGAUAAAUGUUUAUUAUUCAUGCUAGAAUUGUAUUAACCGGAAACAUAAUACAUGUGUGAAUACAUAGACAAACAAAGUGUCAUUAGUAUGCCUCUACUUGACUAGCUUGUUAAUCAAAGAUGGUUAUGUUUCCUAACCAUGAACAAUGAGUUGUUAUUUGAUUAACGAGGUCACAUCAUUAGUUGAAUGAUCUGAUUGACAUGACCCAUUCCAUUAGCUUAGCACCCGAUCGUUUAGUAUGUUGCUAUUGCUUUCUUCAUGACUUAUACAUGUUCCUAUAACUAUGAGAUUAUGCAACUCCCGUUUGCCGGAGGAACACUUUGGGUGCUACCAAACGUCACAAUGUAACUGGGUGAUUAUAAAGGAGCAUUACAGGUGUCUCCAAAGGUAGAUGUUGGGUUGGCGUAUUUCGAGAUUAGGUUUUGUCACUCCGAUUGUCGGAGAGGUAUCUCUGGGCCCUCUCGGUAAUGCACAUCACUUAAGCCUUGCAAGCAUUGCAACUAAAUGAGUUAGUUGCGGGAUGAUGUAUUACAGAACGAGUAAAGAGACUUGCCAGUAAUGAGAUUGAACUAGGUACUGGAAUACCGACGAUCGAAUCUCGGGCAAGUAACAUACCAAUGACAAAGGGAACAACGUAUGUUGUUAUGCGGUCUGACCGAUAAAGUUCUUCGUAGAAUAUGUAGGAGCCAAUAUGGCAUCCAGGUCCCGCUAUUGGUUAUUGACCGAAGACGUGUCUCGGUCAUGUCUACAUUGUUCUCGAACCCGUAGGGUCUGCACGCUUAAGGUUACGAUGACAGUUAUAUUAUGAGUUUAUGCAUUUUGAUGUACCGAAGGUUGUUCAGAGUCCCGGAUGUGAUCACGGACAUGACGAGGAGUUUCGAAAUGGUCGAGACAUAAAGAUUGAUAUAUUGGAAGCCUAUGUUUGGAUAUCGGAAGUGUUCCGGGUGAAAUCGGAAUUUUACCGGAGUACCGGGAAGGUUACCGGAACCCCCCGGGAGCUAAAUGGGCCAUGAUGGGCCUUAGUGGAAAAGAGAAGAGGCAGCCCUACAUGGGCUGUGCGCCUCCCCCUUCCCCUAGUCCUAUUAGGACUAGGAGAGGUGGCCGGCCCCCUCUCUCUCUUUUCCCCCUCCGAGAAUCCUAUUCCAACUAGGAUUGGGGGGGGGGGGAAUCCUACUCCCAGAGGGAGUAGGACUCUCCUGGCGCGCCACACCUUGCCCGGCCAGCCUCCCCCCUCUAGUCCUUUAUAUACUGAGGCAGAGGCACCCGAGAACAAACAAGUUGAUCCACGUGAUCUAUUCCUUAGCCAUGUGCGGUGCCCCCUGCCACCAUAUUCCUCGAUAAUACUGUAGCGGAGUUUAGGCGAAACCCUGCUGCUGUAGUACAUCAAGAUCGUCACCACGCCAUCGUGCUGACGGAACUCUUCCCCGACACUUUGCUGGAUCGGAGUCCGGGGAUCGUCAUCGAGCUGAACGUGUGCUCGAACUCGGAGGUGCCGUAGUUUCGGUGCUUGAUCGGUUGGAUCGUGAAGACGUACGACUACUUCCUCUACGUCGUGUCAACGCUUCCGCAGUCGGUCUGCGUGGGUACGUAGACAACACUCUCCCUUCUCGUUGCUAUGCAUCACAUGAUCUUGCGUGUGCAUAGGAUUUUUUUUGAAAUUACUACGAAACCCAACAGUGGCAUCCGAGCCUAGGUUAUUUAUGUUGAUGUUAUAUGCACGAGUAGAACACAAGUGAGUUGUGGGCGAUAUAAGUCAUACUGCCUACCAGCAUGUCAUACUUUGGUUUGGCGGCAUUGUUGGACGAGACGACCCGGACCAACAUUACGCGUACGCUUACGCGAGACCGGUUCCCCCGACGUGCUUUGCACAUAGGUGGCUUGUGGGCGACUGUCCCUCCAACUUUAGUUGAACCAAGUAUGGCUACGCCCGGUCCUUGCGAAGGUUAAAACGGAGUCUAUUUGGCAAACUAUCGUUGUGGUUUUGAUGCGUAGGUGAGAUUGAUUCUUGCUUAAGCCCGUAGCAGCCAUGUAAAACUUGCAACAACAAAGUAGAGGACGUCUAACUUGUUUUUGCAGGGCAUGUUGUGAUGUGAUAUGGUCAAGACAUGAUGCUGAAUUUUACUGUAUGAGAUGAUCAUGUUUUGUAACCGAGUUAUCGGCAACUGGCAGGAGCCUUAUGGUUGUCGUUUUAUUGUAUGCAAUGAAAUCGCGAUGUAAUGCUUUACUUUAUUACUAAGCGGUAGUGAUAGUCGUGGAAGCAUAAGCUUGGCGAGACGACAACGAUGCUACGAUGGAGAUCAAGGUGUCACGCCGGUGACGAUGGUGGUCACGACGGUGCUUCGGAGAUGGAGAUCACAAGCACAAGAUGAUGAUGGCCAUAUCAUAUCACUUAUAUUGAUUGCAUGUGAUGUUUAUCCUUUUAUGCAUCUUAUCUUGCUUUGAUUGACGGUAGCAUUAUAAGAUGAUCUCUCACUAAAUUAUCAAGAAGUGUUCUCCCUGAGUAUGCAUCGUUGCGAAAGUUCUUCGUGCUGAGACGCCACGUGAUGAUCGGGUGUGAUAGGUUCUACGUUCAAAUACAACGGGUGCAAAACAGUUGCACACGCAGAAUACUCAGGUUAUACUUGACGAGCCAAGCAUAUACAGAUAUGGCCUCGGAACACGGAGACCGAAAGGUCGAGCGUGAAUCAUAUAGUAGAUAUGAUCAACAUAACGAUGUUCACCAUUGAAAACUACUCCAUCUCACGUGAUGAUCAGUUAUGGUUUAGUUGAGUUGGAUCACGUAAUCACUUAGAGGAUUAGAGGGAUGUCUAUCUAAGUGGGAGUUCUUUAAUUAACUUGAUUAACUGAACUUAAAUUUAUCAUGAAACUUAGUACCUGAUUAGUAUCUUGCUUGUUUAUGUUUGAUUGUAGAUAAAUGGCUCGUACUGUUGUUCCGUUGAAUUUUAAUGCGUUCCUUGAGAAAGCAAAGUUGAAAGAUGAUGGUAGCAAUUACACAGACUGGGUCCGUAACUUGAGGAUUAUCCUCAUUGCUGCACAGAAGAAUUACGUCCUGGAAGCACCGCUGGGUGUCAGGCCUGCUGCAGGAGCAACGCCGGAUGUUAUGAACGUCUGGCAGAGCAAAGCUGAUGACUACUCGAUAGUUCAGUGUGCCAUGCUUUACGGCUUAGAAUCGGGACUUCAACGACGUUUUGAACGUCAUGAAGCAUAUGAGAUGUUUCAGGAGUUGAAGUUAAUAUUUCAAGCAAAUGCCCGGAUUGAGAGAUAUGAAGUCUCCAAUAAGUUCUAUAGCUGCAAGAUGGAGGAGAACAGUUCUGUCAGUGAGCAUAUACUCAAAAUGGCUGGGUAUAAUAAUCACUUGAUUCAAUUGGGAGUUAAUCUUCCAGAUGAUAGCGUCAUUGACAGAAUUCUUCAAUCACUGCCACCAAGCUACAAGAGCUUCGUGAUGAACUAUAAUAUGCAAGGGAUGAACAAGACUAUUCCCGAGCUCCUCGCGAUGCUGAAAGCUGCGGAGGUAGAAAUCAAGACGGAGCAUCAAGUGUUGAUGGUCAACAAGACCACUAGUUUCAAGAAAAAGGGCAAAAGGAAGAAGAAGGGGAACUUCAAAAAGAGCGGCAAGCAAGUUGCUACUCAAGAGAAGAAACCCAAGCCUGGACCUAAGCCUGAAACUGAGUGCUUCUAUUGCAAGCAGACUUGUCACUGGAAGCGGAACUGCCCCAAGUAUUUGGCGGAUAAGAAGGAUGGCAAGGUGAACAAAGGUAUAUGUGAUAUACAUGUUAUUGAUGUGUACCUUACUAAUGCUCGCAGUAGCACCUGGGUAUUUGAUACUGGUUCUGUUGCUAAUAUUUGCAACUCGAAACAGGGACUACGGAUCAAGCGAAGAUUGGUUAAGGACGAGGUGACGAUGCGCGUGGGAAACGGUUCCGAAGUUGAUGUGAUCGCAGUCGACACGCUACCUCUACAUCUAUCUUCGGGAUUAGUAUUAGACCUAAAUAAUUGUUAUUUGGUGCCAGCGUUAAGCAUGAACAUUAUAUCUGGAUCUUGUUUGAUGCGAGACGGUUAUUCAUUUAAAUCAGAGAAUAAUGGUUAUUCUAUUUAUAUGAGUAAUAUCUUUUAUGGUCAUGCACCCUUGAAGAGUGGUCUAUUCUUGUUGGAUCUCGAUAGUAGUAGCACACAUAUUCAUAAUGUUGAAACCAAAAGAUGCAGAGUUGAUAAUGAUAGUGUAACUUAUUUGUGGCACUGCCGUUUAGGUCAUAUCGGUGUAAAGCGCAUGAAGAAACUCCAUUCUGAUGGACUUUUGGAACCACUUGACUAUGAAUCACUUGGUACUUGCGAACCGUGCCUCAUGGGCAAGAUGACAAAAACGCCGUUCUCCGGUACUAUGGAGAGAGCAACAGAUUUGUUGGAAAUCAUACAUACAGAUGUAUGUGGUCCGAUGAAUAUUGAGGCUCGUGGCGGAUAUCGUUAUUUUCUCACCUUCACAAAUGAUUUAAGCAGAUAUGGGUAUAUUUACUUAAUGAAACAUAAGUCUGAAACAUUUGAAAAGUUCAAAGAAUUUCAGAGUGAAGUUGAAAAUCAUCCUAACAAGAAAAUAAAGUUUCUACGAUCUGAUCGUGGAGGAGAAUAUUUGAGUUACGAGUUUGGUGUACAUUUGAAAAAUUGUGGAAUAGUUUCGCAAGUCACGCCACCCGGAACACCUCAGCGUAAUGGUGUGUCCGAACGUCGUAAUCGUACUUUACUAGAUAUGGUGCGAUCUAUGAUGUCUCUUACUGAUUUACCGCUAUCGUUUUGGGGAUACGCUCUAGAGACGGCCGCAUUCACGUUAAAUAGGGCACCAUCAAAAUCCGUUGAGACAACGCCUUAUGAACUGUGGUUUGGCAAGAAACCAAAGUUGUCGUUUCUGAAAGUUUGGGGCUGCGAUGCUUAUGUGAAAAAGCUUCAACCUGAUAAGCUCGAACCCAAAUCGGAGAAAUGUGUCUUCAUAGGAUAUCCAAAGGAAACUAUUGGAUACACCUUCUAUCACAGAUCCGAAGGCAAGACUUUUGUUGCUAAAUUCGGAAACUUUCUGGAGAAGGAGUUUCUCUCGAAAGAAGUGAGUGGGAGGAAAGAAGAACUUGACGAGGUAACUGUACCUGCUCCCUUAUUGGAAAGUAGUACAUCACAGAAAACUGUUUCUAUGACACCUACACCAGUUAGUGAGGAAGCUAAUGAUAAUGAUCAUGAAACUUCAGAACAAGAUACUACUGAACCUCGUAGAUCAACCAGAGCAAGAUCCGCACCAGAGUGGUACGGUAAUCCCGUUCUGGAAGUCAUGCUACUAGAUCAUGAUGAACCUACGAACUAUGAAGAAGCGAUGGUGAGCCCAGAUUCCGCAAAGUGGCUUGAAGCCAUGAAAUCUGAGAUGGGAUCCAUGUAUGAGAACAAAGUGUGGACUUUGGUUGACUUGCCCAUGAUCGGCAAGCAAUUGAGAAUAAAUGGAUCUUCAAGAAGAAGACUGACGCUGACGGUAAUAUUACUGGCUACAAAGCUCGACUUAUCGCGAAAGGUUUUCGGCAAGUUCAAGGGAUUGACUACGAUGAGACCUUCUCACCCGUAGCGAUGCUUAAGUUUGUCCGAAUCAUGUUAGCAAUUGCCGCAUUUUAUGAUUAUGAAAUUUGGCAGAUGGAUGUCAAAACUGCAUUCCUGAAUGGAUUUCUAGAAGAAGAGUUGUAUAUGAUGCAACCAGAAGGUUUUGUCGAUCCAAAGGGAGCUAACAAAGUCUGCAAGCUCCAGCGAUCCAUUUAUGGACUGGUGCAAGCCUCUCGGAGUUGGAAUAAACGUUUUGAUAGUGUGAUCAAAGCAUUUGGUUUCAUACAGACUUUUGGAGAAGCCUGUAUUUACAAGAAAGUGAGUGGGAGCUCUGUAGCAUUUCUGAUAUUAUAUGUGGAUGACAUAUUGUUAAUUGGAAAUGAUAUAGAAUUUCUGGAUAGCAUAAAGGGAUACUUGAAUAAGAGUUUUUCAAUGAAAGACCUCGGUGAAGCUGCUUACAUAUUAGGCAUUAAGAUCUAUAGAGAUAGAUCAAGACGCUUAAUUGGACUUUCACAAACAACAUACCUUGACAAAAUUUUGAAGAAGUUCAAAAUGGAUCAAGCAAAGAAAGGAUUCUUGCCUGUGUUACAAGGUGUGAAAUUGAGUAAGACUCAAUGCCCGACCACUGCAGAAGAUAGAGAGAAUAUGAAAGAUGUUCCCUAUGCAUCAGCGAUAGGAUCUAUCAUGUAUGCAAUGCUGUGUACCAGACCUGAUGUGUGCCUUGCUAUUAGUCUAGCAGGGAGGUACCAAAGUAAUCCAGGAGUGGAUCACUGGACAGCGGUCAAGAACAUCCUGAAAUACCUGAAAAGGACUAAGGAUAUGCUUCUCGUAUAUGGAGGUGACAAAGAGCUCAUCGUAAAAGGUUACGUUGAUGCAAGCUUUGACACUGAUCCGGACGAUUCUAAAUCGCAAACCGGAUACGUGUUUACAUUAAAUGGUGGAGCUGUCAGUUGGUGCAGUUCUAAACAAAGCAUCAUAGCGGGAUCUACAUGUGAAGCAGAAUACAUAGCUGCUUCGGAAGCAGCGAACGAAGGAGUCUGGAUGAAGGAGUUCAUAUCCGAUCUAGGUGUCAUACCUAGUGCAUCGGGUCCAAUGAAAAUCUUUUGUGACAAUACUGGUGCAAUUGCCUUGGCAAAGGAAUGCAGAUUUCACAAGAGAACCAAGCACAUCAAGAGACGCUUCAACUCCAUCCGGGAUCUAGUCCAGGUGGGAGACAUAGAGAUUUGCAAGAUACAUACGGAUCUGAAUGUUGCAGACCCAUUGACUAAGCCUCUUCCACAAGCAAAACAUGAUCAGCACCAAGGCUCCAUGGGUGUUAGAAUCAUUACGGUGUAAUCUAGAUUAUUGACUCUAGUGCAAGUGGGAGACUAAAGGAAAUAUGCCCUAGAGGCAAUAAUAAAGUUAUUAUUUAUUUCCUUAUAAUCAUGAUAAAUGUUUAUUAUUCAUGCUAGAAUUGUAUUAACCAGAAACAUAAUACAUGUGUGAAUACAUAGACAAACAAAGUGUCACUAGUAUGCCUCUACUUGACUAGCUCGUUAAUCAAAGAUGGUUAUGUUUCCUAACCAUGAACAAUGAGUUGUUAUUUGAUUAAUGAGGUCACAUCAUUAGUUGAAUGAUCUGAUUGACAUGACCCAUUCCAUUAGCUUAGCACCCGAUCGUUUAGUAUGUUGCUAUUGCUUUCUUCAUGACUUAUACAUGUUCGUAUAACUAUGAGAUUAUGCAACUCCCGUUUGCCGGAGGAACACUUUGGGUGCUACCAAACGUCACAACGUAACUGGGUGAUUAUAAAGGAGCAUUACAGGUGUCUCCAAAGGUAGAUGUUGGGUUGGCGUAUUUCGAGAUUAGGUUUUGUCACUCCGAUUGUCGGAGAGGUAUCUCUGGGCCCUCUCGGUAAUGCACAUCACUUAAGCCUUGCAAGCAUUGCAACUAAAUGAGUUAGUUGCGGGAUGAUGUAUUACAGAACGAGUAAAGAGACUUGCCAGUAACGAGAUUGAACUAGGUACUGGAAUACCGACGAUCGAAUCUCGGGCAAGUAACAUACCGAUGACAAAGGGAACAACGUAUGUUGUUAUGCGGUCUGACCGAUAAAGAUCUUCGUAGAAUAUGUAGGAGCCAAUAUGGGCAUCCAGGUCCCGCUAUUGGUUAUUGACCGAAGACGUGUCUUGGUCAUGUCUACAUUGUUCUCGAACCCGUAGGGUCCGCACGCUUAAGGUUACGAUGACAGUUAUAUUAUGAGUUUAUGCAUUUUUAUGUACCGAAGGUUGUUCGGAGUCCCGUAUGUGAUCACGGACAUGACGAGGAGUCUCGAAAUGGUCGAGACAUAAAGAUUGAUAUAUUGGAAGCCUAUGUUUGGAUAUCGGAAGUGUUCCGGGUGAAAUCGGAAUUUUACCGGAGUACCGGGAAGGUUACCGGAACCCCCCGGGAGCUAAAUGGGCCAUGAUGGGCCUUAGUGGAAAAGAGAAGAGGCAGCCCUACAUGGGCUGUGUGCCUCCCCCUUCCCCUAGUCCUAUUAGGACUAGGAGAGGUGGCCGGCCCCCUCUCUCUCUUUCCCCCCUACGCGAAUCCUAUUCCAACUAGGAUUGGGGGGGGGGGGAAUCCUACUCCCAGAGGGAGUAGGACUCUCCUGGCGCGCCACACCUUGGCCGGCCAGCCUCCCCCCCUCUAGUCCUUUAUAUACUGAGGCAGAGGCACCCGAGAACAAACAAGUUGAUCCAUGUGAUCUAUUCCUUAGCCGUGUGCGGUGCCCCCUGCCACCAUAUUCCUCGAUAAUACUGUAGCGGAGUUUAGGCGAAGCCCUGCUGCUGUAGUACAUCAAGAUCGUCACCACGCCGUCGUGCUGACGGAACUCUUCCCCGACACUUUGCUGAAUCGGAGUCCGGGGAUCGUCAUCGAGCUGAACGUGUGCUUGAACUCGGAGGUGCCGUAGUUUCGGUGCUUGAUCGGUUGGAUCGUGAAGACGUACGACUACUUCCUCUACGUCGUGUCAACACUUCCGUAGUCGGUCUGCGUGGUUACGUAGACAACACUCUCCCUUCUCGUUGCUAUGCAUCACAUGAUCUUGCGUGUGCGUAGGAAAUUUUUUGAAAUUACUACGAAACCCAACAGGUGUGCCCAGCGCCUUCCCUCCCUUUAUAUAGGGUGCGAGGGGGUGCGGCCAGCCCUGUCCCCCGCUCCAAGCCAAGGGGCGGUGGCCCCCCUCCAAGCCUAGGGGCGCCCCCCUUUUUUUAGGGUUUGUCCCCCUUAGCUGGAUGGGCCCUUGGGCUCUGGCACCUGGCCCAUGUAGGGAUGGUGCGCUCCCUCCCCUAAGGGUCCCUGUGGCUCCUCUGGGGAAGGUGAGCCCCACUAGAACACCCUUGGAACUUUCUAGAACCCCCCUGAUACAAUACCGGUAAUUUCCCGAACUUUUCCAGUACCCUGAAAAACACUUCCCAUAUAUGAAACUUUACCUCCGGACUACUCUGAAGCUCCUCGUGAUGUCCCGAAUCCCAUAUGAGACUUCGAACUACCUUCGGACUCACCAUAAUGAAUAUCACAAUACUACCCUAGCGUUGCCUAAUGUUAAGUGUGUGACCCUACGGGUUCGAGAACAUCUAGACAUGAUAGAGACACCUCUCCGAUCAAUAAUCAAUAGCGGGACCUGGAUGCCUAUCAUCACUCCCACAUAUUCAACGAAGAUCUUUAUCGGUUUGAACCACGAUGUCAAGGAUGAUAAUCCCCUAUACAAUUACCUUUCUCUCGUGAUAUAUUUACUUGACUAAGAUUUGAUCGUCGGUAUCGUCAUACCUAGUUCAAUCUCAUUACCGGCAAGUUCUCUUUGCUCGUUCCGUAAUACAAUAUCCCCGUGACUAAACACAUUAGUCACAUGUUUGCAAGCUACUUAGGAUAUCAUGUUGUCUCGGGAGUUUCAGAGAGAAAACAUGAGUCCAAGCCCGAAUAGAGAGAGCGCAAACCCAAUUCUUUGCUGAACUAACUACUAAUGAUUAGAGGAGAAUGCCCAAAUUAUAAAUUAUACACUAAACCGACACAUCUGAAACAUAUAUACAAUUUUUUAUUGAUUUAUUUUAUGUUUAUAUCAUAUUGGCAUAGUUUGGCACCAAUUUAUAUUAUUUUUCCGUACUAACCAGUUAAUUUAGUGCAAGUGCCAAUUGAUGUUUUCUGCAUGAUUUGGAUUUUCAAGAUAUUCUAUUUUUUCUGCCUCAAAAAAAUCCAAGAAAAAAUUAGCAAAAAUAAUUUCAUCCAGAAGCUUCGGGUGGCAGCCAACGUAGGUCGGGGGCCACCCACAUGCCCCACACGGCCAGUGGCGCGUAGGCUCCCUAGCGCUCCAAUCCAUUUCCUCUCGAUCUCUGUGCCUCUAUAUAUUCAUGAAAACUCAGACGAUUUUCAACUCUAAUUUAUCAACUAUUGCACACCCUUGUUUCAUGGUGAUCCAUUUUGGAGGCCUUUUCCGGAGCUCCGCUGGAGGGGGCGUUCUUGACAUUGGCCGUCUCCAUCAACUUGAAGGCUACCAUAAUCGCACGCGACUAGUUUUCUUUGGACUAUGGGUCAUGGCAGUAGCUAGAUGGUUUUCUCUCCCUUGCUUCUCAACACAAACUACAUGAUUGUGAUCCAUCUGAUGUAAUCCGUUGGUGUUUUUGUUGGGAUACGACGAAUUGUCACUUAUGAUCAGAUUUAUUCAUGGAUCCGUUUAAGAUCUAUUUGGUUUCUUUGCUGCAUAAUUCUUAUUCCUCUCUGAUCCAUUCUUCUUUCUUUGCCCAAGUUUGAGAUUUGAUCUCCAAGAGGGAGUUGUGUAUGGUAGUUGGGUUCAAUCUUACAAGGUAAUCCAUCGUAGUGACAAAAAGUGGGAAAAACUUGUAUUGUGUUGUUGCCACUAGGGAUAGAAAGGUUGAUUAGAUCAGUUUAAAAAAAGGUUGAUUAGCAAUCAAACAUCGUUGACCAACCAAUUACCUCUUAGAUCAAUCAAGGGUAUCUGAAUCUGCCGAAGUAGUAGAACACGACCUGCUAGCCUGUUGGCCGGAGUAGAAGCACGUGUAAUCAUCCAGCACCCGAGUGUCAGACCCGAGGCGCCCUCUAGAAGCCUGGCACUCACCGCACCAGUCGGCGCCGGCCUACCGUCGCACAGAGAACCCCGCCCUAACGGCGUCCCUGACGGUGGCGUACCGGCGUUCCCGGCGGUCAGCGCAUCCGCCAUGGCCGAUGACCGACUCGUACGGCUGCACCUGCACACCACCCCAGGCCCAGUACGUCCUCUGGCGCCGACGUACCGGCCCUCUCCUUCUAUGCCGCCGCCAAGCUCGCCUAUAGUUGGAUGCGAUCUAGAGUGGUGCAGAGAAGAGGGAGGAGCAGAGAAUUUGUUGAUGGGACUGGAUCCUACUGCCGACGGCCUGGAGCCCUGGACCGUGACUGCGGGCAUACGAGAAGGGGAGAGUCAGAUAAUUUUUUUCUCGGGGGCGCCGGAGCAGGGAGAGAGACGGGAUCGGGAGCGAUGGGGUGCGGGAGAUGAGGAGGCUGCGUGGGCGCGGGACGUGGGGUCGUGGCCUCGUGGGUCUUUUUUGUUUGCCUUUUUUUCGGGCGGGGAUGGAAGAAGCGGUGGGAGGACGUAGCGAUAGGAGGGGGAGGUUGAACGAGGUCGAACCAUCACGACGUUCGAUCCUCCUUUAAUAGUAGAGAUAACGCGUGUUGCCUAGAGCUACCAUGAUGUCAAAGCUCAAGCUUGCUGCAAGUAUGAUACUAGUAGGAUUCACUAAUAGCUGGUGCAAUUCAGAGAUGAUUCAGAGCAAAAUUUUGAGAUUCAGAGAAGAUUUUUGUUGGUGCGAUUCACUGACUGAUGUUUGAUCGUUCGUAUACUGAGCUAUCUGAUGCCCUGUCGUGUCAUUUCAUUCUGCUAUUGAUUAUUGCUGUGCAACGCUGCUUCACAUAUAUCUACUGUGCCUAUAGUCUGUAUCUUGCGUUCUUCGUUGGGAGUUGCUGUCUUGUUACUUUGUUGCUUAUAUUUCAAAAUAUUCCAAAUAUAGCCACUGUAAAAAUCACUUUACAUGCAGAAUUGAAAAAAUGUCAAUCUUGUAUUUAAAAGUCUUAAAGGUCGAUAAAAAAUUGUUACUACUGAUGUAUAAAAAAAUGUACAAUUUGUAUGGAAAAGUAAACAUAAAAACAUAUACAUGAGAAAAAUGUUAAUCAUGUAUUUCAAAUGUUAAAUGUGUGUAUGAAAACAGUAACUGAUGUAUACAAAAAAUGUACAAUGUUUACGGAAAAUGUAAACAUAAAAAGAUGUAAGUUUUAAAAAAAUGUUAAUAAUGUAUUUGGAAAAUAUUAAACGUGUAUGAAUUAUUUUCCUGAUAAAAAAUGUACAAUGUUUAUGAAAAAAGUAGACAUCAAAAAAUAACAUUUUUUUACAAAUGAUAAUCAUGUAUUUGGAAAAUGCUAAACGUACGUUCAUACAAUUUUUUUAAUGUAAAACGUACAAAUUAAAUUUGCAUGGAAAAAGCAGACAUAAAAACAUUAUAUAUUUGAAAAAAUGUCAAUCAUGUAUAAAAAAUGUCUGUGUAGUUUAAAAAGAAUGUUUCUUACCAUAAACAAAUAUUCAAUGUGUUUUUGAAUAAAUGUAGUCACCAAAACAUGUAUUAGAAGAAAAUGUACAUUGUAUAUUUGAACAAUGUUCAACAUGUUUAAAAAAAUGUCUCCCAUGUACCCUAGAUAUGUAUAUCGUGUACUAAAAAAAGUAGACAUGGGUUGAAUAGUAAACAAACCGAUGAAAAUCGACAAAGAAAGAAUUAAAAAAAUGAAGAAACCCAAUAAAAAUAAAAAAUAAAAAAUAAAUCUAUAAAAAAAGAAAAUGGAAACCAAAGAAAACAAAUGAAAAAAACCUGAUGAAACCCGAGAAAGGAACAAAGAAAAACGAAGAAAGCCGAGAAAAGAACCAAAAAAGCAAACAAAGAAAGAAAAGCAAAAAACUAGUGAAAACUAAGAAAGAAACAAGAAAAACAGUAAUAGCCCUGAAAGAAACAAAAAAACCGGUGAAAAAACAAAGGGAAAUGAAAAAAAAAUCAAAGAUAACCAUGAAGAAUCAGAUAAAACGAAAAUGAGAAAAGAAAAGAAAAGAAAAAAACUGAAGAACUGAAUGAACGAAGGGUAGCGAUAGAGCCGAGGAGAAAACUGGAAAUGUAUAAAACCAAGAAGAGCCCUACACUGCAUGUCAGAUUGUGGCAUAUUGAGGUGAAAAGGCAGCAAGUACGACCAACCAAACGAAAAAAACCCAAAAAUGCUAGACACAUGGACUAAACCAACGUAACUUUACGGAUCAACUAACUUGUCCUGUUUUAAUUUGGCUAAAUAACCUACUCCUAGGGAAAGACAACCCAUAUACCUAAAUUUUAUUGGGGAGAUGAAUUGAGUAGCAGAAGAGUUUACAAAACACAAAACCAACUAAUUCUCGAACAAAACUGACCUUAUGGCACUGCUUUGAUGUAGAUGUGGUCACCGAAACUAGCAGAGAAAUAAUACUAAUUUGUUUUAAAGAUCUUGCUGACACUAGAUCUUGUUGCAAAUCAUGACGGGAAAUUUAGGAAGCAAUCUGUAACACAUGAAGAGUCAGGAAGAGCAAGAAGGCAUAGCAAGGCGAGACAAGAUUAAACCCAAACUCAAAUUCGCAAUUGAAACAAUCUAAACUGAAAUGGUUUGCAAGAAGCGGCGAAACAACACAUAACAAUGUAAACAAGCAGGCAGGCAUGGAGAAGCUCAGAGACAAUCAAACAUCACAGACAACUGCGGAAUAGAAUACUUGAGUUUAGAUGAUUAUAAUGUUGACAGUAGAUACAUGCCAUUGCCAUUGGUCCUUGGUCACAUAUUAUUACUUGAUAAUACUAAGAUCAAACACAAACAAAGAUAAAUGGAUUUCUAGCAUAGAUGUCCUCUGGAUCGAUCAACUACUAGCGUAGAUAGGUAACAUUCUGUAACCUAUGUCAAUGCAUGGCUUCUUCUCUGAUUGUAGGAAUAUGCCAAGAGUGUUCAGAAAAUUGGAAGCAUCAACAGCUACGCGCUCUUCGAACACCCCAAUAUCCUGAAGGUAGCGGCGGAAGCCGCCGAGAGGUGCAUCCAGGUUGUUGAGCUUGUUCUCAGUGUGGUGGUCAAUGAGUUAGCCGGCUACCUUGUUGGGGAACGUUGCAUGGAAAAUAAAAAAAUUCUACGCACACGCAAGAUCUAUCCAUGGAGAUGCAUAGCUACGAGAGGGGAAGAGCAUCUACGUACCAUUAUAGAUCGCUAAGCAGAAGAGUUUAUCAUGCGGUUGAUGUAGUCGUACUCUUCGCGAUCCGGUCACGAUCCAACUGAUCUAGUGCCAAACGGACGACACCUCUGAGUUUAGCACACAUGUGGCUCAAUGAUGUCUCCUUCUUCUUGAUCCAGCAAGCGGGAGAGGAGAAGUAGAUGGGAUCACAACCAACAUGACGGCGUGGUUGUGAUGGUGGUGGUGAAGCACCGACAGCGCUUCGCUAAGCAUCUCCGGGACAAGGCGGUGGAACUGCAGAGUAACAGGAGAGAGAGGGGUGCCAAGGGCUUGAUGUAUCCCCUUGGGUAACCCUCCCCUCUAUAUAUAGGUGGAGGGGCGUGGAAAAUAGCCCCUCCCAGCCCUAGGGCACAGUUAAGGGGGAGAGGACUUGGACUCCAAGUCCAAUCCUAUUCCUACUAGGAGUCCUUUCUUUUUCGCCUUCCCUAGCCACAUGGGCUUUUGAGGACUUGGUGCGCCUAGCCCAAUAAGGCCAGGGCACCUCCCCAUAGCCCAUGCUAGCCCUUGGGUCGUGGUGAACUGAUAACCCACAAGUAUAGGGGAUCGCAACAGUUUUCGAGGAUAGAGUAUUCAACCCAAAUUUAUUGAUUCGACACAAGGGGAGCCAAAGAAUAUUCUCAAGUAUUAGCAGCUGAGUUGUCAAUUCAACCACACCUGGAAACUUAAUAUCCGUAGCAAAGUGUUUAGUAGCAAAGUAAUAUGAUAGUAGUGGUGACGGUAGCAAAAGGUAACGGUAGCAAAAGUAAUAUUUUUGGUGUUUUAUAGUGAUUGUAACAAUAGCAACGGAAAAGUAAAAUAAGCGAAGAACAAUAUAUGGAAACCUCGUAGGCAAUGGAUCGGUGAUGGAGAAUUAUGCCGGAUGCGGUUCAUCAUGUAACAGUCAUAACAUAGGGUGACACAGAACUAGCUCCAAUUCAUCAAUGUAAUGUAGGCAUGUAUUCCGAAUAUAGUCAUACAUGCUUAUGGAAAAGAACUUGCAUGACAUCUUUUGUCCUACCCUCCCGUGGCAGCGGGGUCCUAAUGGAAACUAAGGGAUAUUAAUGCCUCCUUUUAAUAGAGAACUGGAACAAAGCAUUAGCACAUAGUGAAUACAUGAACUCCUCAAACUACGGCCAUCACCGGUAAGUGGUCCCGAUUAUUGUCACUUCGGGGUUGCCGGAUCAUAACACAUAGUAGGUGACUCUAGACUUGCAAGAUAGGAUUAAGAACUCUCAUAUAUUGAUGAAAACAUAAUAGGUUCAAAUCUGAAAUCAUGGCACUCGGGCCCUAAUGACAAGCAUUAAGCAUAGCAAAGUCAUAGCAACAUCAGUCUCAGAACAUAGUGGAUACUAGGGAUCAAACCCUAACAAAACUAACUCGAUUACAUGAUAAAUCUCAUCCAACCCAUCACCGUCCAGCAAGCCUACGAUGGAAUUACUCACGCACGGCGGUGAGCAUCAUGAAAUUGGUGAUGGAGGAUGGUUGAUGAUGACGAUGGCGAUGGAUUCCCCUCUCCGGAGCCCCGAACGGACUCCAGAUCAGCCCUCCCAAGAGAGUUUAGGGCUUGGCGGUGGCUCCGUAUCGUAAAACAUGAUGAAUCCUUCUCUCUGAUUUUUUCUCCCCGAAAGUGAAUAUAUGAAGUCAGGGUUGAGGUCGAUGGAGCGUCAGGGGGCCCACGAGGCAGGGGGCAUGCCCAGAGGGGUAGGGCGCGCCCCCACCCUCGUGGACAGGUGGAGGCCCCCCUGACGUGGAUCUUCCUUCCAGUAUUUUUUAUAUAUUCCAAAAUAAUUCUCCGUAGAUUUUUAGGUCAUUCCGAGAACUUUUAUUUCUGCACAAAAAUAACACCAUGGCAAUUCUGCUGAAAACAGCGUCAGUGCGGGUUAGUUCCAUUCAAACCAUGCAAGUUAGAGUCCAAAACAAGGGCAAAAGUGUUUGAAAAAGUAGAUACUACGGAGACGUAUCAACUCCCCCAAGCUUAAACCUUUGCUUUUCCUCAAGCAAUUCAGUUGAUAAACUAAAAGUGAUAAAGAAAAACUUUUACAAACUCUGUUUGCUCUUGUUUUUGUAAAUAUGUAAAGCCAGCAUUCAAGUUGUCAGCAAAGAUUAUGAACUAACCAUAUUCACAAUAACAUUUAGGUCUCAUGUUUACUCAUAUCAAUGACAUAAUCAACUAGCGAGCAAUAAUAAUAAAUCUUGGAUGACAACACUUUCUCAAAACAAUCAUGAUAUGAUAUAAUAAGAUGGUAUCUCGCUAGCCUUUUUUGAGACCUCAAAACAUAAAUGCAAAGCACCUUUAAAGAUCAAGGACUGACUAGACAUUGUAAUUCAUGGUAAAAGAGAUCCAAUCAAGUCUUACUCAAUGUAAACUAACAGUAAUGGAUGCAAAUGACAGCGGUGCUCUCCAACUGGUGCUUUUUAAUAAGAGGGUGAUGACUCAACAUAAAAGUAAAUAGAUAGGCCCUUCACAGAGGGAAGCAGGGAUUUGUAGAGGUGUCAGAGCUCGGUUUUGAAAUAGAUAUGAAUAAUAUUUUGAGCGGCAUACUUUCAUUGUCAACAUAACAACCAAGAGAUGUCGAUAUCUUCCAUGCUACACACAUUAUAGGCGGUUCCCAAACAGAAUGGUAAAGUUUAUACUCCCCCUCCACCAACAAGCAUCAAUCCAUGGCUUGCUCGAAACAACGAGUGCCUCCAACUAACAACAGUCCCGGGGGAGUUUUGUUUGCAAUUAUUUUGAUUUAAUUUGCAUAAAGCACGGGACUGGCCAUCCCGGUGACCAGCCAUUUUCUUGUGAGUGAGGAGCGGAGUCCACUCCUCUUGAGAAUAACCCACCUAACAUGGAAGAUAUAUACAACCCUAGUUGAUACAUGAGCUAUUCGAGCAUACAAAGCAGAAUGUUUAUUUGAAGGUUUAGAGUUUGGCACAUACAAAUUUACUUGAAACGGCAGGUAGAUACCGUAUAUAGGUAGGUAUGGUGGACUCAUAUGGAAUAACUUUAGGGUUUAUGGAAUUGGAUGCACAAGCAGUAUUCCCGCUUAUUACAAGUGGAGGCUAUCAAAAGACUGGAAAGCGACCAGCUAGAGAGCGACAACAGUCAUGAACAUGCAUUAAAAUUAAUCAACACCGAAUGCAAGCAUGAGUAGGAUAUAAUGCACCAUGAACAUAAAUAUCGUAGAGGCUAUGUUGAUUUUGUUUCAACUACAUGCGUGAACAUGUGCCAAGUCAAGCCACUCGAAUCGUUCAAAAGAGGAUACCACCCUAUCAUACCACAUCACAACCAUUUUAAUAGCAUGUUGGCACGCAAGGUAAACCAUUAUAAGCUCCUAGCUAAUUAAGCAUAACAUAAGGAACUAUAAUCUCUAAUUGUCAUUGCAAACAUGUUUAUUCAUAAUAGGCUGAAUCAGGAACGAUGGACUAAUCAUAUUUACAAAAACAAGAGAGGUCGAGUUCAUACCAGCUUUUCUCAUCUCAAUAAGUUCAUCAUAUAAUCAUCAUUAUUGCCUUUCACUUGCACGACCGAAUGAUGUGAAUAAUAAUAAUAGUGCACGUGCAUUGGACUAAGCUAGAAUCUGCAAGCAUUCAAUUCAAGAGAGAAGACAAGGUAAUAUGGGCUCUUUGUUAGAUCAACAAUAAUGCAUAUGAGAGCCACUCAACAUUUUCAUUAUGGUCUUCUCCUACCGACCCCCAAAGAACAAGAAAAAAAUAAAACUAUUUACAUGGGAAAGCUCCCAACAAGCAAAAGAAGAACGAGAAAUCUUUUUGGGUUUUCUUUUUAAUUAUUACUACUACAGCAUGAAAAGUAAACUAAUUAAAAGCUACAAGUAAUUUUUUUGUUUUUCUUAAGGUUUAUUAAACACACAAGAAGAAAGCAUAAAAAGGAAAAUGAACUAGCAUGGAUGAUACAGUGAAAAAGUAUGAGCACCGACAACUAGCAAUGAGUGUGUGAACAUGAAUGUAAUGUCGGUGAGAAAUAUGUACUCCCCCAAGCUUAGGCUUUUGGCCUAAGUUGGUUUAUGGCCACGACUGGCCUGGCGGAUAUCCAAAGUUAUAGUUGGGGUCAUACUGAGAUGCAGCAGCUAUUGCCUCAUGAGCUACCGCUUGGAGAUGGGCCGUCUUCGUCCUCCUCUUAUACUCGUCCGCCUCCUCCAUGGUUAUAAUAUAUCUCCCUUUUGCCUGAGAGUCAAAGAAAGCAGGAGCAGGGAGAGCGACGUGAUAGGUGCGUCGUCUGUUAAAGAUUAGUCGGUACUGGAGGAACUGAUCGUUCUCUCAACAAACAGAUGACGAACCAUGGCCUCAUAAUCUAAAUAAAUAGGAGGCAACUCAAUAUCAUACCCACGUAUGGGUAUAUCAAGAAAAUUAGCUAGACGGGUUGCAUAAAUUCCACCGAAGAAAUCUCAAUUAAAUCUAUUAUUAUGCAACCUACGUGCAACAAUGGCUCCCAAAUUAUAAUGUUUAUCUCCUAAUACAGAACUCCUGAGAACACUGAGGUCAGGGACACACAUGUGGCAUGCUUCAUCCUUACCAUUUAUGCACCUACCUCUGAAGAGAGCAAAAUAAUGUAUAGCAGGAAAAUGAAUGCUCCCUAUGGUAGCUUGUGUUAUGUCUCUAGAUUCCCCCACAGUUAUACUAGCAAGAAAAUCUCUAAAUUCAGAUUUGCGAGGUUCAUUAGGACUACCCCAUUGUGGAAGUUUGCAAGCAGUGUUAAAAUCCUCUAAGUCCAUAGUAUAAGAAUUUUCAUAAAGAUCAAACAAGACAGUUUGAGAAUUGCGUGAUGAUGAAAAUUCAAACCUUCUCACAAAGGAAUCAGUGAGAUAGUGGUACUGGCGGCACUUAUCUGCCUCGAAGCUCUCAAGAUCAGCAUUACACACAUAUGCGUUAAAUUCUUCCUUGAUUCCUGCUCGAUCCAUAAAGUCCUCUGAAGUCCAUUCACAAGCCCGCACUUGAGCUUCCUUCGGUGGUUUAUCGUCGGCAUCGCGUAUUGCGAGCCUGGGUCCUUGCUUCCUUGAAGGACCACCUUGGUACAUUUUCCUAAACAUAUUUCUUCCUCUGAAAAAUUUCUGAAAUUUUAGUAACUUCAAAAUAAAAGCGAACCAAACUCAACAAAAUUGAUAGCAACUACUCCCACAAGUGCCUAGAGACUAUAUCAUGCAUUAAAACUACUUUUGACCGUAUAAAUUUGACAUGCAAGCUCAAGAACAUGGUCACCUAGGCAGCACAAAUUUGCAAUGAAUAAAGCACUAGAACAAAAACUAAUUGGACCAUUGGAGGAGUCACAUACCAAAGAACAAUCCCCAAAGCAGUUUUUUGAAUGAAGCUUUGAGAAAGGAGAUCGAAAUUGGCAGCAAAAUGAUCUUGGACUCUGGUUUGAGCUGGUUGGUGAUUUUUGUGGGAGGAAGAAGGAGUGUGUGGUAGCUGGAAUAAGUGGAGGGAAGCCACCGUGGGCCCACGAGGCAGGAGGAUGCGCCCAGGGGGUAGGGUGCGCCCUGGACCCUCGUGGCUAGGUGCUUGCUCCCCCUGCUGUGUUCUCAGUGCCAGAUAUUCUCAAAUAUUCCAAAAAAAAUCAUAUUUAAAUUUCAGGGCAUUUGGAGAACUUUUUUUCGGGGUAUUUUUAUUGCACGGGUAAUUCAGAAAACAAAUAGAAUAUACUAUUUUUGCUUUAUUUCAACUAAAUAACAGAAAGUAAAAAGAGGGUACAGAGAGUUGUGUUUUCUAAAUUCAUCCAUCUCAUUCUCAUCAAAAGGAAUCCACUAACAAGGUUGAUCAGGUCUUGUUAACAAACUCAUUCCGAAUAACAUGGAACCGAAGAAUUUUCGAAUAACACUAGGUUGCCUCAACGGGGAUAUGCAUGUCCCCAACAAUAAGAAUAUCAUAUUUCUUCUUGACAGUAGGAAGAGGAAAUUCAAAACCUCCAAUAGUAAUUGUUGAAAAUUUUCCAAUAGAAUUGAUACUGUGGACUUGAGGUUGUUUCCUCGGAAAGUGUAUCAUAUGCUCAUUACCAUUAACAUGAAAAGUGACAUUGCCUUUGGUGCAAUCAAUAACAGCCCCUGCAGUAUUCAAAAAGGGUCUUCGAAGAAUAAUUGACAUAUUAUCGUCCUCGGGAUAUCAAGAAUAAUAAAGUCCGUUAAAAUAGUAACAUUUGCAACCACAACAGGCACAUCCUCACAAAUACCGACAGGUAUACCAGUUGAUUUAUCAGCCAUUUGCAAAGAUAUUUCAGUAGGUUUCAACUUAUUCAAAUCAAGUCUACGAUAUAAAGAGAGAGGCAUAACACUAACACCGGCUCCAAGAUCACAUAAAGCAGUUUUAACAUAGUUUCUUUUAAUGGAGCAUGGUAUAGUUGGUACUCUGGGAUCUCCUAGUUUCUUAGGUAUUCCAUCCUGAAAAGUAUAAUUAGCAAGCAUGGUGGAAAUUUCAGCUUCCGUUAUCUUUCUUUUAUUAGUAACAAUAUCUUUCAUAUACUUAGCAUAAGGAUUCAUUUUAAGCAUAUCAGUCAACCCAUAUGCAAAAAGAUAGGUCUAAUCAUUUUAGCAAAGCGCUCAAAAUCCUCAUCAUCCUUUUUCUUGGAUGGUUUAGGAGGAAAAGGCAUGGGUUUCUGAACCCAUGGUUCUCUUUCUUUACCGUGCUCCCUAGCAACAAAGUCUCUCCUGUCAUAACAUUGAUUCUUUGAUUGUGGGUUAUCAAGAUCAACAGUAGGUUCAAUCUCUACUUCAUUGUCAUUACUAGGUUGAGCAUCAACAUGAACAUCAUCAUUAACAUUAUCACUAGGUUCAUGUUCAUUACCAGAUUGUGUUUCAGCAUCAGAAAUAGAAAUAUCAUUGGGAUUCUCUGGUGUGUCAACAACAAGUUCACUAGAAGCAUGCAAAGUCCUAUCAUUUUUCUUUUUCUUCCUUUUAAAAGGACUAGGUGCAUCAAUAUUAUUUCUCUGAGAAUCUUGCUCAAUUCUCUUAGGAUGGACCUCAGGAUACAAAGGUUCCUGAGUCAUUUUACCACCUCUAGUCAUAACUCUAACAACAUUAUCAUUUUUCUUACUAUUUAAUUCAUUGAGCAAAUCAUUCUGAGCCUUAAGUACUUGUUCUACUUGAGUGGUAACCAUAGAAGCAUGUUUACUAAUAAGUUUUAGUUCACCUUUAACACUAGCCAUAUAAUCACUCAAGUGUUCAAUCAUAUAAGCAUUAUGUUUCAAUUGUCUACCAACAUAAGCAUUAAAAUCUUCUUGCUUAACCAUAAAGUUAUCAAACUCAUCUAAGCAUUGGCUAGCAAACUUAGUAGCAGGGAUUUCAACUUCAUCAUUUCUAUAGAGAGAAUUUACCUUUACUACCUGUGCUGGGUUAUCAAGACCAUGUAUUUCUUCAACAGGCGACAAAUUAAUACCAUGUAUUUAUUCAAUAGGAGGUAAAUUCUUAACAUCUUCAGCUUUAAUACCCUUUUAUUUGAUAGAUUUGUUUGCCUCUUGCAUAUCUUCAGGACUGAGAAAUAGAAUACGCCUUUUCUUCGGAGUUGGCUCAUGAGUUGGUUCAGGAAUUGGAUCAGGGAUUGGAUCAGGAAGUGCCCAAUUAUUUUCAUUAGUCAACAUAUUAGUCAAUAGAAUUUCAGCUUCAUCUGGUGUUCUUUCCCUGAAAACACAACCAGCACAACUAUCCAGGUGGUCUCUAGAAGCAUCAGUUAGUCUGUUAUAAAAGAUAUGAAGUAUUUCAUUUUCUUAAGAGGAUGAUCAGGCAAAUCAUUAAGUAAUUGGAGAAGCCUCCCCCAAGCUUGUGGGAGACUCUCUUCUUCAAUUUGCACAAAAUUAUAUAUUUCCCUUAAAGCAGCUUGUUUCUUAAGAGCAGGGAAAUAUUUAGUAGAGAAGUAAUAAAUCAUAUCCUGAGGACUACGCACACAACCGGGAUCAAGAGAAUUAAACCAUAUCUUAGCAUCACCCUUUAAUGAGAACGGAAAUAUCUUAAGGAUAUAAUAGUAGCGAGUUUUCUCAUCAUUAGUGAACAGGGUGGCUAUAUCAUUUAAUUUAGUAAGAUGUGCCACAACAGUUUCAGAUUCAUAGCCAUAGAAAGGAUCAAAUUCAACCAAAGUAAUUAUAUCAGGGUCGACAGAGAAUUCAUAAUCCUUAUCAGUAACAAAGAUAGGUGAAGUAGCAUAAGCAGGAUCAUAUUUCAUUCUAGCAUUCAGAGUUUUUUGUUUCAGCUUAGCUAAUAAUUUCUUAAGAUCACUCCUAUCAUUGCAAGCAAGAAAGUCUCUAGCAGUUUCUUCAUCCAUAACAUAACCCUCAGGAACAACAGGCAAUUCAUAUCUAGGGGGAGAAUCUUCAUCACCACUUUCAUCAAUAUUAUCAGUUUCAAUAAUUUCAUUCUCUCUAGCCCUAGCAAGUUGUUCAUCAAGAAAUUCACCAAGUGGCAUAGUAGUAUCAAGCAUAGAAGUAGUUUCAUCAUAAGUAUCAUGCAUAGAAGAAGUGGCAUCAUCAAUAACAUGCGGCAUAUUGGAAUUAAUAGCAGAAGCAGGUUUAGGUGUCGCAAGUUUACUCAAAACAGAAGGUGAAUCAAGUGCAGAGCUAGAUUGCAGUUCCUUACCCCCCCUCGUAGUUGAGGGAUAAAUCUUGGUUCUUGGAUCUUUCAAGUUCUUCAUAAUGAUAAGAAGAUAUAAAUCCCAAGUGACUCAAAGAAAAGAGCUAUGCUCCCCGGCAAUGGCACCAGAAAAUAGUCUUGAUAACCCACAAGUAUAGGGGAUCGCAAUAGUUUUCGAGGGUAGAGUAUUCAACCCAAAUAUACUGAUUCGACACAAGGGGAGCCAAAGAAUAUUCUCAAGUACUAGCAGCUGAGUUGUCAAUUCAACCACACAUGUAAACUUAAUAUCUGCAGCAAAGUGUUUAGUAGAAAAGUAAUAUGAUAGUAGUGGUGACGGUAGCAAAAGGUAACGGUAGCAAAAGUAAUAUUUUUGGUGUUUUAUAGUGAUUGUAACAAUAGCAACGGAAAAGUAAAUAAGCAAAGAACAAUAUAUGGAAAGCUCGUAGGCAAUGGAUCAGUGAUGUAGAAUUAUGCCGGAUGCGGUUCAUCAUGUAACAGUCCUAACAUAGGGUGGCACAGAACUAGCUCCAAUUCAUCAAUGUAAUGUAGGCAUGUAUUCCGAAUAUAGUCAUACAUGCUUAUGGAAAAGAACUUGCAUGACAUAUUUUGUCCUACCCUCCCGUGGCAGCGGGGUCCUAAUGGAAACUAAGGGAUAUUAAGGCCUCCUUUUAAUAGAGUACCGGACCAAAGCAUUAACACAUAGUGAAUACAUGAACUCCUCAAACUACGGUCAUCACCGGGAGUGGUCCCGAUUAUUGUCACUUCGGGGUUGCCGGAUCAUAACACAUAGUAGGUGACUAUAGACUUGCAAGAUAGGAUCAAGAACUCUCAUAUAUUGAUGAAAACAUAAUAGGUUCAGAUCUGAAAUCAUGGCACUCUGGCCUUAGUGACAAGCAUUAAGCAUAGCAAAGUCAUAGCAACAUCAAUAUCAGAACAUAGUGGAUACUAGGGAUCAAACCCUAACAAAAGUAACUCGAUUACAUGAUAAAUCUCAUCCAACCUAUCACCGUCCAGCAAGCCUACGAUGGAAUUACUCACGCACGACGGUGAGCAUCAUGAAAUUGGUGAUGGAGGAUGGUUGAUGAUGACGAUGGCGACGGAUUCCCCUCUCCGGAGCCCCGAACGGACUCCAGAUCAGCCCUCUCGAGAGAGCUUAGGGCUUGGCGGCGGCUCCGUAUCGUAAAACGUGAUGAAUCCUUCUCUCUAAUUUUUUCUCCCCGAAAGUGAAUAUAUGGAGUCAGGGUUGAGGUCGGUGGAGCGUCAGGGGGCCCACGAGGCAGGGGGCGCGCCCAGGGGGUAGGGCGUGCCCCCACCCUCAUGGACAGGUGGAGGCCCCCCUGACGUGGAUCUUCCUUCCAGUAUUUUUUAUAUAUUCCAAAAUAAUUCUUCGUUGAUUUUCAGGUCAUUCCGAGAACUUUUAUUUCUGCUCAAAAAUAAUACCAUGACAAUUCUGCUGAAAACAACGUCAGUCCGGGUUAGUUCCAUUCAAAUCAUGCAAGUUAGAGUCCAAAACAAGGGCAAAAGUGUUUGGAAAAGUAGAUACGAUGGAGAUGUAUCAUGAACCCACUUGUGGACGUCCGGACCCCUCCGGAACCUUUUGGAAGCUUCCCGGUACAAUACCGAAAAAACUGCACCUUUUCCCGAAACCCAAAAUAUGACUUCCCUUAUAUAAAUAUUUACCUCUCGACCAUUCCGAUACUCCUCGUGAUGUUCGGGAUCUCAUCCGGGACUCUGAUCAAUAUUUGGUUACCACUCAUCAAAUAUCCCAAUACUAUUCUAGCGUCAACAAACGUUAAGCGUGUGACCCUACGGGUUCAGGAAUUCUGUAGUUAUGACCGAGACACCUCUCUAGUCAAUAACCAAUAGCGGGACCUGGAUGCCCAUAUUGAUUCCUACAUAUUCCACAAAGAUCAUUUAUUGGUUUAACCUUUAUAACAACAUAUGUAAUUCCCUUUGUCUGUCGGUUUGUUACUUGCCCGAGAUUCAAUCAUCGGUAUCUCUAUACCUAGUUCAAUCUCGUUACCAGCAAGUAUCUUUACUCGUCCCGUAAUACAUCAUCUUGCAAACUAACUCCUCACUCACUUUGCUUGCAAGCUUCUUGUGAUGUGUAUUACCGAGAGGGCCGAGAGAUACCUCUCCAAUACACGGAGUGACAAAUCCUUAUCUCAAUUCACACCAACUCAACAGACACCUUCGGAGAUACCUGUAGAGCAUCUUUAUGAUCACCCAGUUACAUUCCUAUGUUUGAUAGCACACAAGGUAUUCCUCCAGUAUCUGGGAAUUGCAUGAUCUCAUGGUCGAAGGGACAUGUGUAUUCGACAUUAAGAAAUCAGUAGCAAUAAACUGAACGAUCAUAUGCUAUGCUAACGGUUGUGUCUUGUCCAUCACAUCAUUUUCCUAAUGAUGUGAUCCCGUUAUCAAAUGAAAAAUCAUGUCUAUGGUUAGGAAACCUUAACCAUCUUUGAUCAACGAGCUAGUCUAGUAGAGGCUCACUAGGGACACCGUAUUUGUUUAUUACCCACACAUGUAUUUAAGUUUCCGGUCAAUACAAUUCUAGCAUGAAUAAUAAACCUUUAUUAUGAUUAAGGAAAUAUAAUAAUAACCAUUUGUUAUUGCCUCCAGGGCAUAUUUCCAUCAGUCUCCCACUUGCACUAGAGUCAAUAAUCUAGUUCACAUCGCCAUGUGAUUAACACCCAAGAGUUCACUAGAGUCAAUAAUCUAGUUCACACCGCCAUGUGAUUAAAACUCAAAGAGUUCUAAGGUGUGAUCAUGUUUUGCUUGUGAGAGAUGUUUUUAGUCAACGGUCUGCAACAUUCAGAUCCGUGUGUACUUUGCAAAUAUAUAUGUCUACAAUGCUCAGCAUAGAGCUACUCUAGCUAAUUUCUUCCACAUUCAAUACGUAUCCAUAUUGAGACUCAUGGUCAUCCAGAUCAGUGUCAAAGCUUGCAUCGACGUAACCCUUUACGACAAACUCUUUAUCACCUCCAUGUCCGAGAAAUAUUUCCUUAGUCCUCUUUAGGUACCUAAGGAUAAUUUUGACCGUUGUCUAUUGAUCCACUCCUGCAUCACUAUUGUACCCCCUUGCCAGACCCAUGGUAGGGCACACAACAGGUCUAGUACACAGCAUGGCAUACUUUAUAGAACAUAUGCCUGAGGCAUAGGGAAUGACUUUCAUUCUCUCUCUAUCUUUUGCCGUGGUCGGGCUUUGAGUCUUACUCAACUACACACUUUGAAUACAGGCAAGAACCCUUUCUUUGACUGAUUCAAUUUGAACUCCUGGAAAACUUUGUCAAGGUAUGUGCUUUGCAAAAGUCCUAUUAAGAGUCUUGAUCUAUCUCUAUAGAUUUUGAUGCCCAGUAUGUAAGUAGCUUCACCGAGGUCUUUCAUUGAAAAAUUCUUAUUCAAGUAUCCUUUUAUGCUAUCUAGAAAUUCUAUAUCAUUUCCAAUCAGCAUAUGUCAUCCACAUAUAAUAUCAGAAAUGCUAUAGAGCUCCCAAUCACUUUCUUGUAAAUACAGGCUUCACCAUAAGUCUAUAUAAAACCAUAUGCUUUGAUCACCUCAGCGUAUAUUCCAACUCCGAGAUGCUUGCACUAGUCCAUAGAUGGAUCGCUGAAUCUUGCACACUUUGUUAGCACCUCUAGGGUCGACAAAAACUUCCGGUUGCAUCAUAUACAAAUCUUCCUCAAAAAACCUGUUAAGGAAUGCAAGUUUUUGACAUCCAUUUGCCAGAUUUCAUAAUCAUAAAAUGUGGCAAUUGCUAACAUGAUUCGGACAGACUUAAGCAUCGCUACGGGUGAGAAAGUCCCAUCGUAGUCAACCCCUUGAACUUGUCAAAAACCUUUUGCAACAAGUCGAGCUUUGUGGAUAGUUAUAUUACCGUCAACAUCCGUCUUCCUCUUAAAGAUCCAUUAAUUCUUUAUGGCUUGCCGAUCAUCCAGAAAAUCUACCAAAGUCCACACUUUGUUCUCAUACAUGGAUCCUAUCUCAGACUUCAUGGCCUCAAGCCAUUUUUGAAAAUGUGGGCUCAUCAUAGUUUCUUCAUAGUUCGUAGGUUUGUUGUUGUCCAACAACAUGACUUCCAUGACAGGAUUGCCGUACCACUCUGGUGUAGAACGUGUUCUGGUCAACCUACGAGGUUCAGUAGUAACGUGAUCUGAAGUUUCAUGAUCAUCAUCAUUUGCUUCCUCUCUAGUUGGUGUAGGCACAACAAGAACAACUUUCUCUGAUGUACUACUUUCCAAUUCAAGAGAAGGUACAACUACCUCAUCAAGUUCCACUUUCCUCCCACUCACUUCUUGCGAGAUAAACUCCUUCUCUAGAAAGGAACCAUUCUUAGCAACAAAGAUUUUUCCUUCGGAUCUGUGGUAGAAGGUAUACCCAAUAGUUUCUUUCGGCUAUCCUAUGAAGAAGCACUUCUCCACUUUGGGUCCGAGCUUAUCAGGCUAAAGCAUUUUGACAUAAACGUCACAUCCCCAAACUUUUAAGAAAUGACAGCUUAGCUAUCUUGACAAACCACAGUUCAUACUGUGUCAUCUCAACGGAUUUAGACGGUGCCCUAUUUAACAUGAAUGCGGCUGUCUUUAAUGCACAACCCCAAAAUGAUAGUGGUAAAUUGGUAAAAGACAUCACAGACGCACCAUAUCUAAUAUAGUAUGGUUACGAUGUUCGGACACACCAUUACGCUGUUGUGUUCCACGUGGCGUGAGUUGUGAAACUAUUCCACAUUGUUUUAAAUGAAGGCCAAACUCGUAACUCAAAUAUUUGCCUCCGUGAUCAGAUCGUAAAAGCUUUGUUUUCUUGUUAUGAUGAUUCUCCACUUCACUUCAAAAUUCUUUGAACUUCUCAAACUUUUCAGACGGCUUGUGUUUCAUCAAGUAGAUAUACCCAUACCUACUCAAAUCAACCGUGAAGGUGAGAAAAUAACGAUAUCCGCCGUGUGUUUCAACACUCAUCGGACCGCAUACAUCGGUAUGUAUUAUUUCCAAUAAGUCAUUAGCUCGCUCCAUUGUUCUGGAGAACGGAGUUUUAGUCAUCUUGCCUAUGAGGCAUGGUUUGCGAGUAUCAAAUGAUUCAUAAUCAAGUGAUUCCAAAAAUCCAUCCCCAUGGAGUUUCUUCAUGCGCUUUACACCAAUAUGACCUAAACGCCAGUGCCAAAAGUAUGUUGCACUAUUGAUACAUCUCCAAUGUAUCUAUAAUUUUUGAUUGCUCCAUGCUAUAUUACCUACUGUUUUGGACUAUAUUGGGCUUUAUUUUCCACUUUUAUAUUAUUUUUAGGACUAACCUAUUAACUGGAGGCCUAGCCCAGUAUUGCUGUUUUUUUUGCCUAUUUCAGUGUUUCAGAGAAACAAAAUAUCAAAUGGAGUCCAAACGGAAUGAAACCUUCGAGAACACGAUUUUCUCAUCAGAUAAGACCCAGGAGACUUGGACCCUCCGUCAAGAAAGCCACGAGGCGGUCACGAGGGUGGAGGGCGCGCCCCCUUAGGGUGCACCCCUGCCUUGUGGGCCCCUCGAAGCUCCACCGACGUACUCCUUCCUCCUAUAUAUACCUACGUACCCCCAAACGAUCAGAGACGGAUCCAAAAACCUAAUUCCAUCGCCGCAACUUUCUGUAUCCACGAGAUCCCAUCUUGGGGCCUGUUCCGGAGCUCCGCCGGAGGGGGCAUCGAUCAUGGAGGGCUUCUAAAUCAUCAUCCAAGCCCCUCCGAUGAAGUGUGAGUAGUUUACUUCAGACCUACGGGUCCAUAGUUAGUAGCUAGAUGGCUUCUUCUCUCUUUUUGGAUCUCAAUACAAUGUUCUCCCCCUCUCUCAUGGAGAUCUAUUCAAUGUAAUUUUCUUUUUGCGGUGUGUUUGUUGAGAUCGAUGAAUUGUGGGUUUAUGAUCCAGUCUAUCUAUGAAUAAUAUUUGAAUCUUCUCUGAAUUCUUUUAUGUAUGAUUGGUUAUCUUUGCAAGUCUCUUCGAAUUAUCAGUUUGGUUUGGCCUACUAGAUUGGGUUUUCUUGCCAUGGGAGAAUUGCUUAGCUUUGGGUUCGAUCUUGCGGUGUCCUUUCCCAGUGACAGAAGGGGCAGCAAGGCACGUAUUGUAUUGUUGCCAUCGAGGAUAACAAGAUGUUUUUUUAUCAUAUUGCAUGAAACUAUCCCUCUACAUCAUGUCAUCUUGCUUAAGGCGUUACUCUGUUUUUUACUUAAUACUCUAGAUGCAUGCUGGAUAGCGGUCGAUGAGUGGAGUAAUAGUAGUAGACGCAGGUAGGAGUCGGUCUACUUGUCUCGGACGUGAUGCCUAUAUACAUGAUCAUACCUAGAUAUUCUCAUAACUAUGGUCAAUUCUAUCAAUUACUCAACAGUAAUUUGUUCACCCACCAUAGAAUACUUAUGCUCUUGAGAGAAGCCACUAGUGAAACCUAUGGCCCCCGGGUCUCUUUCUCAUCAUAUCAAUCUCCAUCACUUUAUUAUUGCUUUUCUUUUUUACUUUGCCUUUUACUUUUCACUUUGUACCAAAAAUACCAAAAAUAUUAUUUAUCAUCUCUAUCAGAUCUCACUUUCGUAAGUGACCAUGAAGGGAUUGACAACCCCUAAGCGUGUUGGUUGCGUUGAGCUAUUUUUUUGUGUAGGUACGAGGGACUCGCGCGUAGCCUCCUACUAGAUUGAUACCUUGGUUCUCAAAAACUGAGGGAAAUACUUACGCUACUUUGCUACAUCAUCCUCUCCUCUUCGGGGAAAUCCAACGCAGUGCUCAAGAGGUAGCAAGAAGAAUUUCUGGUGCCAUUGCCGGGGAGUCUGCGCAAAAGUCAACAUACCAAGUACCCAUCACAAUCCCUAUCUCCCGCAUUACAUUAUUUGCCAUUUGCCUCUCGUUUUCCUCUCCCCCACUUCACCCUUGCCAUUUUAUUCGCCCUCUCUCUCUCUAUCCUCCCUCUCUAUUUGCCUCUUUUGCCCAUUUGCUUUUUGUUUGCUCGUGUGUUGGAUUGCUUGUUUGUCGCGAUGGCUCAAGAUAAUACCAAAUUGUGUGACUUCACCAAUACCAACAAUAAUGAUUUCCUUAGCACUCCGAUUGCUCCUCUUACCGAUGUUGAAUCUUGUGAAAUUAAUGUUGCUUUGUUGAAUCUUGUCAUGAAAGUUCCGUUCUCCGGCCUUCCUAGUGAAGAUGCCGCUACCCAUCUUAAUAUCUUCGUUGAUUUGUGUGACAUGCAAAAGAAGAAAGAUGUCGAUAAUGAUAUUGUGAAAUUGAAGCUAUUUCCUUUUUCUCUUAGAGAUCGUGCUAAAGCUUGGUUUUCAUCUUUGCCUAAAAAUAGUAUUGAUUCAUGGAACAAGUGCAAAGAUGCUUUUAUCUCUAAGUAUUUUCCUCCCGCUAAGAUCAUCUCUCUUAGAAACGAUAUUAUGAAUUUUAAGCAACUUGAUCAUGAACAUGUUGCACAAGCUUGGGAGAGAAUGAAAUUAAUGAUAUGUAAUUGCCCUACUCAUGGUUUGAAUUUGUGGAUGAUUAUACAAAAAUUUUAUGCCGGAUUGAAUUUUUAUUCUAGAAAUCUUUUAGAUUCGGCCGCGGGAGGCACUUUUAUGGAAAUCACUUUAGGAGAUGCUACUAAACUCCUAGAUAAUAUUAUGGUUAAUUAUUCUCAAUGGCACACUGAAAGAUCCACUAAUAAGAAAGUGCAUGCGAUAGAAGAAAUUAAUGUUCUGAGUGGAAAGAUGGAUGAACUUAUGAAAUUAUUUGCUACUAAGAGUGUUUCAUCUGAUCCUAAUGAUAUGCCUUUGUCUACUUUGAUUGAGAAUAAUAAUGAAUCUAUGGAUGUGAAUUUUGUUGGUAGGAAUAAUUUUGGUAACAACGCGUAUAGAGGAAAUUUCAACUCUAGGCCUUAUCCUAGUAAUCCCUCUAAUAAUUAUGGUAAUUCCUACAACAAUUCUUAUGGAAAUUAUAAUAAGAUACCCUCUGAUUUUGAAUCUAAUAUUAAAGAAUUUAUUUCUUCGCAGAAGAAUUUUAAUGCUAUGAUUCAAGAAAAAUUGCUUAAGAUUGAAGAUUUGGCUAGGAACGUUGAUAGAAUUUCUCUUGAUGUUGACUCUUUAAAGCAUAGAUCUAUUCCUCCUAAGCAUGAUAUCAAUGAGUCUCUCAAAGCCAUGAGAAUUUCCAUUGAUGAGUGCAAGGAAAGAACCGCUAGGCGCGUGCUAUGAAAGAUGCCUUUAUUAAAGCGUGUUCUUCCACUUCCUAUGAAAAUAAAGAUGAAGAUCUAAAAGUUAUUGAUGUGUCCCCUAUUAAAUCUUUGUUUUGCAAUAUUAAUCUUGAUAAUGAUGGUACUGAAUAUGAUCCACCUUUACCUAGAAGGCGUUCUAAAAAUUCGGACUAUUUAGAUCUUGAUGGUGAAAUUGAUAAAAGUGGGAUUAAAAAUUCGGACUAUUUAAUUAUGAAACUUGCUAUUUAAUUGAUUGUAUUUCCUUGUUGCAAUCCGUGCUAAAUUCUCCUCAUGCUUAUAGUCAAAAUAAAGCCUUUACCGAACAUAUCGUUGAUGCCUUGAUGCAAUCUUAUGAAGAAAAACUUGAGUUGAAAGUUUCUAUCCCUAGAAAACUUUAUGAUGAGUGGGAACCUGCUAUUAAAAUUAAAAUUAAAGAUUAUGAGUUUUAUGCUUUGUGUGAUUUGGGUGCUAGUGUCUCUACUAUUCCCAAAACUUUGUGUGAUUUGCUAGAUUUCCGUGAUUUUGAUGAUUGCUCUCUAAACUUGCAUCUUGUGGAUUCCACUAUUAAGAAACCUAUGGGAAGAAUUAAUGAUGUUAUUAUUGUUGCAAAUAGGAACUAUGUGCCCGUAGAUUUUAUCGUUCUUGAUAUAGAUUGCAAUCCUUCUUGCCCUAUUAUUCUUGGUAGACCUUUCCUUAGAACGGUUGGUGCAAUUAUUGAUAUGAAGGAAGGGAAUAUUAGAUUUAAAUUUCCAUUAAAAAGGGCAUGGAACACUUCCAUAGAAAGAAAAUAAAAUUACCAUAUGAAUCUAUCAUGAGAGCCACUUAUGGAUUGCCUACCAAAGAUGGCAAUACCUAGAUCUACUCUUGCUUGUUAUGCCUAGCUAGGGGCGUUAAACGAUAGCGCUUGUUGGGAGGCAACCCAAUUUUAUUUUUAUUCCUUUAUUUUUGCUCCUGUUUAGUAAUAAAUAAAUUAUUUAGCAUCUAUUUUGGUUGUGUGUUCUUGUGUUUAAUUAGUAUUUGUGCCAAGUAGAACCGUUGGGAAGACUUGGGGAAAGUCUUGUUGAACUUGCUGUAAAAAACAGAAACUUUAGCGCUCACGAGAACUGCUGUCAUUUUUAUUUUGAGAGUGAUAUUUAGUUAAUUAUUUUUGCAGAUGAUUAAUAGAUAAAUUCCUCACGUCCAGAAAUUUAUUUUAGAAUUUUUGGGGUUCCAGAUCUUACAUAUAUUUUCAUAUCUAAUAUUACUAAAUAACAUGGUAGAUAUUUUUAUAAAUCAUAUAGACAAUAAUAAUUUAUUUAACAUAAUAGUGGUUUCUAGUGUAUAUUAGGCAACUAUAUUCAUAAAAAUUUCUAGGGCAUAACAAAUGUGACUUUCAAAUUGGGUUUAGUAAUGGAAUUAUGGAGAACCGAAAAUGUUGUUGCUUCUACAUUUGCGCAUCACUCAGUUAUUUGGCAUGCUCAUGUGGAUUCACUUGAUUUGAUUUGCUGCAAAUGAGAUGUCUUAUCCUUUUCUCAAAUGUAAAAUUGUGCAUUGUUUUAAACACGGAAAUAUAGUUAUCAUAUUUUUUAUUACGUUACUAAGACAUCCAUCAUAAAGGAGACUAGCAUAUUUAAAGCCAGCUUCGCCAGUCAGAUUGGUUUGCCUCCACAUGGUAUAAACUAUUAGUAUGUGGACAGGAAGCCAUCAACGAGAGAGUAUCUAGUGAGUGAGAGGUAUAACAAAGUUAAAAGUACAUGUGUGGUGUGUUGCCUAGGGCUACUGUGAUAUCAAAGUUCAAGCUUGUUGUAUGCAUGCAACUUGUGGAUCAGAUAACAGAGCAAAAAUUUGAGAUUUAGAGAUGAUUUCUGUUAGUGCAAUUCACUGACUAUUGUUUGAUUGUCCGUAUACUUAGCUAUCUGAUACCUCCGUGUGUGUCAUUUCAUUGUGUUGUUGAUUAUUGCUGCGCAACGCUGCUUCGCAUGUAUCUACUGGUGCCUGCAGUCUGCAUCUUGCAUUGUUCAUUGGGAGCUGCUGGCUAGUUACUCUGUUACUUAUAUUUUAAAACAUUUCAAAUAUAUCUAUUAUAAAAAUAACUUCACAUCAAAACAUAUGUUUGAAAAAAUGUCAAUCAUGUAUUAAGAAAUGUUUGUGCGGUUUAAAAAGAAUGUUUAUUACCUUAUAUAAAUGUUCAACAUGUAUUUAAAAAAUGGUGUCCAUUUAUUCAAAAAAGUUCUCAAAACAUGUAUUAAAAGAAAAUGUACAUCAUAUACAUGAAAAUGUUCAGCAUGUUUCAAAAAAAGCUCCAGGUGUACACUAAAUAUGAAUAUGAUGUAUUUAAAAAUAGACAUGUGUUUAACAAAAAAGAAACCAAUAGAAAUCGACAAAGAAACAAAGAGAUAAACCCCAAUAGAAAUCAAAAAUAAAAAUACCAAAAAGAAAAGGGAAACAAAAGAAAACCAAUGAAAAAAUAAAAAAAUGUUGAAACCCGAGAAGGAAACAAAGAAAACCGAGAAAAGAAACAAAGACAAAAGAAGAGGAAGAAAAGAAUGAAAAGAAAAAAAUCAGUGAAAACCAAGAAAGGAACAAGAAAAAGGAAGAAAAUCAAGAAAAAAAAAGUAAAACCGAGUAAAACCCUUGAAAGAAUGAAGAAGUGAAGGAAAUAUGCCCUAGAGGCAAUAAUAAAGUUAUUAUUUAUUUCCUUGUAUCAUGAUAAAUGUUUAUUAUUCAUGCUAGAAUUGUAUUAACCGGAAACAUAAUACAUGUGUGAAUAUAUAGACAAACAGAGUGUCACUAGUAUGCCUCUACUUGACUAGCUCGUUGAUCAAAGAUGGUUAUGUUUCCUAACCAUAGACAUGAGUUGUUAUUUGGUUAACGAGAUCACAUCAUUAGGAGAUUGAUGUGAUUGACUUGACCCAUUCCAUUAGCUUAGCACUUCAUCGUUUAGUUUGUUGCUAUUGCUUUCUUCAUAACUUAUAUAUGUUCCUAUGACUAUGAGAUUAUGCAACUCCCGUUUACCAGAAGAACACUUUGUGUGCUACCAAACGUCACAACGUAACUGGGUGAUUAUAAAGGUGAUCUACAGGUGACUCCGAAGGUAUUUGUUGGGUUGGCGUAUUUCGAGAUUAUGAUUUGUCACUCCGAUUGUCGGAGAGGUAUUUCUGGGCCCUCUCGGUAAUGCACAUCACUUAAGCCUUGCAAGCAUUGCAGCUAAUGAGUUAGUUGCGGGAUGAUGUAUUACAGAACGAGUAAAGAGACUUGCCGGUAACGAGAUUGAACUAGGUAUUAAGAUACCGACGAUCGAAUCUCGGGCAAGUAACAUACCGAUGACAAAGGGAACAACGUAUGUUGUUAUACGGUCUGACCGAUAAAGAUCUUGAUAGCAUAUGUAGGAGCCAAUAUGAGCAUCCAGGUUCCGCUAUUGGUUAUUGACCGGAGACGUGUCUCGGUCAUGUCUACAUUGUUCUCCAACCCGUAGGGUCCGCACGCUUAACGUUACGAUGACAGUUUCAUUAUGAGUUUAUAUGUUUUGAUGUACCGAUGGUUGUUCGGAGUCCCAGAUGUGAUCACGGACAUGACCAGGAGUCUCGAAAUGGUCGAGACAUAAAGAUUGAUAUAUUGGAAGCCUAUGUUUGGACAUCGGAAGUGUUCCGGGUGAAGUCGGCAUUUUACUGGAGUACCGGGAGGUUACCGGAACCCCCCGGUAACCUAAUGGGCCUUAAUGGGCCUAGUGGAGGAAGUAGAGAGGAGGCCAAGGGGCAGCCGCGCGCCCCUCCCCCCAAGUCCGAAUUGGACAAGGAGGGGGGCGACGCCCCCCCCCCCCUUUCCUUUCCCCUUUUUCUCUCCUUCCCCCCAAGUCAUAGUCCAACAUGGAAAGGGGGGAGUCCUAAUCCCGGUGGGAGUAGGACUCCUCCUGGCGCGCCCCUUGCCUGGCCGCACCUCCUACCCCUUGCUCCUUUAUAUACGGGGGCAGGGGGUACCCCAUAGACACAACAAUUGAUCAUUGAUCUCUUAGCCGUGUGCGGUGCCCCCCUCCACCAUAAUCCUCGAUAAUAUUGUAGCGGUGCUUAGGCGAAGCCCUGUGACGGUAAAACAUCAAGAUCGUCACCACGCCAUCGUGCUGACGGAAAUCUUCCCCGACAUUCUGCUGGAUCGGAGUCCGGGGAUCGUCAUUGAGCUGAACAUGUGCUAGAACUCGGAGGCGCCGUAGUUUCGGUGCUUGAUCGGUCGGGCCGUGAAGACGUAUGACUACAUCAACCGCGUUCUGCUAACGCUUCCGCUUUCGGUCUACAAGGGUACGUAGACAACACUAUCCUCUCUCGUUGCUAUGCAUCACCAUGAUCUUGCGUGUGCGUAGGAAAAUUUUGAAAUUACUACGUUCCCCAACAGUGGCAUCCGAGCCUAGGUUUUUUGCAUUGAUGUUGUGCACGAGUAGAACACAAGUGAGUUGUGGGCGAUAUAAGUCAUACUGCUUACCAACAUGUCAUACUUUGGUUCGACGGUAUUGUUGGAUGAAGCGGCCCGGACCGACAUUACGCGUACGCUUACGCGAGACUAGUUCUACCGACGUGCUUUGCACACAGGUGGCUGGCGGGUGUCAGUUUCUCCAACUUUAGUUGAACCAAGUGUGGCUACGCCCGGUCCUUGCGAAGGUUAAAACAACACCAACUUGACAAACUAUCGUUGUUGUUUUGAUGCGUAGGUAAGAACGGUUCUUGCUAAGCCCGUAGCAGGCACGUAAAACUGGCAACAACAAAGUAGAGGACGUCUAACUUGUUUUUGCAGGGCAUGUUGUGAUGUGAUAUGGUCAAGACAUGAUGCUAAAUUUUAUUGUAUGAGAUGAUCAUGUUUUGUAACCGAGUUAUCGGCAACUGGCAGGAGCCAUAUGGUUGUCGCUUUAUUGUAUGCAAUGCAAUCGCGCUGUAAUGCUUUACUUUAUCACUAAGCGGUAGCGAUAGUCGUGGAAGUAUAAGAUUGGCGAGACGACAAUGAUGCUACGAUGGAGAUCAAGGUGUCGCGCCGGUGACGAUGGUGAUCAUGACGGUACUUCGGAGAUGGAGAUCACAAGUACAAGAUGAUGAUGGCCAUAUCAUAUCACUUAUAUUGAUUGCAUGUGAUGUUUAUCUUUUAUGCAUAUUAUCUUGCUUUGAUUGACGGUAGCAUUAUAAGAUGAUCCCUCACUAAAUUAUCAAAGUAUAAGUGUUCUCCCUGAGUAUGCACCAUUGCGAAAAUUCUUCGUGCUGAGACACCACGUGAUGAUCGGGUGUGAUAGGCUCUACGUUCAAAUACAAUGGGUGCAAAAUAGUUGCACACGCGGAAUACUCAAGUUAAACUUGACGAGCCUAGCAUAUAACAGAUAUGGCCUCGGAACACGGAGACCGAAAGGUCGAGCGUGAAUCAUAUAGUAGAUAUGAUCAACAUAGUGAUGUUCACCAUUGAUACUACUCCAUCUCACGUGAUGAUCGGACAUGGUUUAGUUGAUUUGGAUCAUGUGAUCACUUAGAGGAUUAGAGGGAUAUCUUUCUAAGUGGGAGUUCUUAAGUAAUAUGAUUAAUUGAACUUAAAUUUGUCAUGAACUUAGUACUUGAUAGUAUCUUACUUGUUUAUGUUUGAUUGUAGAUUGAUGGCCCGUGCUGUUGUUCCGUUAAAUUUUAAUGCAUUCCUUGAGAAAGCAAAGUUGAAAGAUGAUGGUAGCAAUUACACGGACUGGGUCCGUAACUUGAGGAUUAUCCUCAUUGCUGCAUAGAAGAAUUACGUCAUCGAAGCACCGCUAAGUGCCAAGCCUGCUACAGGAGCAACACCAGAUGUUAUGAACAUCUGGCAGAGCAAAGCUGAUGACUACUCGAUAGUUUAGUGUGCCAUGCUUUACGGCUUAGAAUCGGGUCUUCAAUGAUGUUUUGAACGUCAUGGAGCAUAUGAGAUGUUCCAGGGGUUGAAGUUAAUAUUUCAAGUAAAUGCCCGGAUUGAGAGAUAUGAAGUCUCCAAUAAGUUCUAUAGCUGCAAGAUGGAGGAGAAUAGUUCUGUCAGUGAACAUAUACUCAAAAUGUCUGGGUAUCAUAAUCACUUGACUCAACUGGGGGUUAAUCUUCCUGUUGAUAGUGUCAUUGACAGAGUUCUUCAAUCACUGCCACCAAGCUACAAAAGCUUCGUGAUGAACUAUAAUAUGCAAGGGAUGAAUAAGACUAUUCCCGAGCUCUUCGCAAUGCUAAAAGCCGCGGAGGUAGAAAUCAAGAAGGAGUAUCAAGUGUUGAUGGUCAAUAAGACCACCAGUUUCAAGAAAAAGGGCAAAGGGAAGAAGAAAGGGAACUUCAAUAAGAACAGCAAACAAGUUGCUGCUCAGGAGAAGAAAUCCAAGUCUGGACCUAAGCCUGAGACUGAGUGCUUCUACUGCAAGCAGACUAGUCACUGGAAGCGGAACUGCCCCAAGUAUUUGGCGGAUAAGAAGGAUGGCAAAGUGAACAAAGGUAUAUGUGAUAUACAUGUUAUUGAUGUGUACCUUACUAAUGAUCGCAGUAGCACCUGGGUAUUUGAUACUGGUUCUGUUGCUAACAUUUGCAACUCGAAACAGGGGCUACGGAUUAAGCAAAGAUUGGCUAAGGACGAGGUGAUGAUGCGCGUGGGAAAUGGUUCCAAAGUCGAUGUGAUCACGGUCGGCACGCUACCUCUACAUCUACCUUCAAGAUUAGUAUUAGACCUAAAUAAUUGUUGUGUGGUGCCAGUGUUGAGCAUGAACAUUAUAUCUAGAUCUUGUUUGAUGCGAGACGGUUAUUCAUUUAAAUCAGAGAAUAAUGGUUGUUCUAUUUAUAUGAGUAAUAUCUUUUAUGGUCAUGCACCCUUGAAGAGUGGUCUAUUUUUAUGAAUCUCGAUAGUAGUGAUACACAUAUUCAUAAUGUUGAAAUCAAAAGAUGCGGAGUUGAUAAUGAUAGUGCAAUUUAUUUGUGGCACUGCCGUUUAGGUCAUAUCGGUGUAAAGCGCAUGAAGAAACUCCAUACUGAUGGACUUUUGGAACCACUUGAUUAUGAAUCACUUGGUACUUGUGAACCGUGCCUUAUGGGUAAGAUGACUAAAACGCCGUUCUCCGGUACUAUGGAGAGAGCAACGAAUUUGUUGGAAAUCAUAUAUACAGAUGUAUGUGGUCCAAUGAAUGUUGAGGCUCGAGGCGGAUAUCGUUAUUUUCUCACCUUCACAGAUGAUUUAAGCAGAUAUGGGUAUAUCUACUUAAUGAAACAUAAGUCUGAAACAUUUGAAAAGUUCAAAGAAUUUCAGAGUGAAGUUGAAAAUCAUCGUAACAAGAAAAUAAAGUUUCUACGUUCUGAUCGUGGAGGAGAAUAUUUGAGUUACGAGUUUGGUCUAUAUUUGAAACAAUGCGGAAUAGUUUCGCAACUCAUGCCACCCAGAACACCACAGCGUAAUGGUGUGUCCGGACGUCGUAAUCGUACUUUAUUAGAUAUGGUGCGAUCUAUGAUAUCUCUUACUGAUUCACCGCUAUCGUUUUGGGGUUAUGCUUUAGAGACGGCUGCAUUCACGUUAAAUAGGACACCAUCGAAAUCCGUUGAGACGACGCCUUAUGAACAUUGGUUUGGCAAGAAACCAAAGUUGUCAUUUCUGAAAGGUUGGGGCUGCGAUGCUUAUGUGAAAAAGCUUCAACCUGAUAAGCUCGAACCCAAAUCGGAGAAAUGUGUCUUCAUAGGAUACCAAAAGGAGACUAUUGGGUACACCUUCUAUCACAGAUCCGAAGGCAAGACUUUUGUUGCUAAAUUCGGAGUUUUUCUAAAGAAGGAGUUUCUCUCGAAAGAAGUGAGUGGGAGAAAAGUAGAACUUGAUGAGGUAUAUAUACCUACUCCCUUAUUGGAAAGUAGUACAUCACAAAAACCAGUUUCUGUGACACCUACACCAAUUAGCGAGGAAGCUAAUGAUAAUGAUCAUGAAACUUCAGAUCAAGUUACUACCGAACCUCGUAGAUCAACCAGAGUAAGAUCCACACCAGAGUGGUACGGUAAUCCUGUUCUGGAAGUCAUGCUACUAGAUCAUGAUGAACCUACGAACUAUGAAGAAGCGAUGGUGAGCCCAGAUUCCGCAAAAUGGCUAGAAGCCAUGAAAUCUGAGAUGGGAUCCUUGUAUGAGAACAAAGUGUGGACUUUGGUUGACUUGCCCGUUGAUCGGCAAGCAAUUGAGAAUAAAUGGAUCUUCAAGAAGAAGACUGACGCUGACGGUAAUGUUACUGUCUACAAAGCUCGACUUGUUGCGAAAGGUUUUCGACAAGUUCAAGGGAUUGACUACGAUGAGACCUUCUCACCCGUAGCGCUGCUUAAGUCUGUCCGAAUCAUGUUAGCAAUUGCCGCAUUUUAUGAUUAUGAAAAUUGGCAAAUUGAUGUCAAAACUGCAUUCCUGAAUGGAUUUCUGGAAGAAGAGUUGUAUAUGAUGCAACCAGAAGAUUUUGUCGAUCCAAAGGGAGCUAACAAAGUGUGCGAGCUCCAGCGAUCCAUUUAUGGACUGGUGCAAGCCUCUCGGAGUUGGAAUAAACGCUUUGAUAGUGUGAUCAAAGCAUUUGGUUUUAUACAGACUUUUGGAGAAGCCUGUAUUUACAAGAAAGUGAGUGGGAGCUCUGUAGCAUUUCUGAUAUUGUAUGUGGAUGACAUAUUAUUGAUUGGAAAUAAUAUAGAAUUUCUGGAUAGCAUUAAGGGAUACUUGAAUAAGAGUUUUUCAAUGAAAGACCUCGGUGAAGCUGCUUACAUAUUGGGCAUUAAGAUCUAUAGAGAUAGAUCAAGACGCUUAAUUGGACUUUCACAAAGCACGUACAUUGACAAAGUUUUGAAGAAGUUCAAAAUGGAUCAAGCAAAGAAUGGGUUCUUGCUUGUGUUACAAGGUGUGAAGUUGAGUAAGACUCAAUGUCCGACCACUGCAGAAGAUAGAGAGUAAAUGAAAGAUGUUCUCUGUGCUUCAGCCAUAGGCUCUAUCAUGUAUGCAAUGCUGUGUACCAAACCUGAUGUGUUCCUUGCUAUAAGUCUAGCAGGGAGGUACCAAAGUAAUCCAGGAGUGGAUCACUGGAUAGCGGUCAAGAACAUCCUGAAGUACUUGAAAACAACUAAGGAUAUGUUUCUCGUAUAUGGAGGUGACAAAGAGCUCAUCGUAAAUGGUUACGUUGAUGCAAGCUUUGACACUGAUCCGGACGAUUCUAAGUCGCAAACCGGAUACGUAUUUACAUUAAACGGUGGAGAUGUCAGUUGGUGCAGUUCUAAACAAAGCGUCGUGGCGGGAUCUACAUGUGAAGCGGAGUACAUAGCUGCUCGGAAACAGCAAAUGAAGGAGUCUGGAUGAAGGAGUUCAUAUCCGAUCUAGGUGUCAUACCUAGUGCAUCGGGUCUAAUGAAAAUCUUUUGUGACAAUACUGGUGCAAUUGCCUUGGCAAAGGAAUCCAGAUUUCACAAGAGAACCAAGCACAUCAAGAGACGCUUCAAUUCCAUUCGGGAUUUAGUCCAAGUGGGAGACAUAGAAAUUUGCAAGAUACAUAUGGAUCUGAAUGUUGCAGACCCGCUGACCAAGCCUCUUCCACGAGCAAAACAUGGUCAGCACCAAGGCUCCAUGGGUGUUAGAAUCAUUACUGUGUAAUUUAGAUUAUUGACUCUACUGUAAGUGGGAGACUGAAGGAAAUAUGCCCUAGAGGCAAUAAUGAAGUUAUUAUUUAUUUCCUUGUAUCAUGAUAAAUGUUUAUUAUUCAUGCUAGAAUUGUAUUAACAGGAAACAUAAUACAUGUGUGAAUACAUAGACAAACGGAGUGUCACUAGUAUGCCUCUACUUGACUAGCUCGUUGAUCAAAGACGGUUAUGUUUCCUAACCAUAGACACGAGUUGUUAGUUGGUUAAUGGGGUCACAUCAUUAGGAGAAUGAUGUGAUUGACUUGACCCAUUCCAUUAGCUUAGCACUUCAUCGUUUAGUUUGUUGCUAUUGCUUUCUUCAUAACUUAUAUAUGUUCCUAUGACUAUGAGAUUAUGCAAAUCCCGUUUACCGGAGGAACACUCUGUGUGCUACAAAAUGUCACAACGUAACUGGGUGAUUAUAAAGGUGCUCUACAGGUGUCUCCGAAGGUAUUUGUUGGGUUGGCGUAUUUUGAGAUUAGGAUUUGUCACUCCGAUUGUCGGAGAGGUAUCUCUAGGCCCUCUCGGUAAUGCACAUCACUUAAGCCUCACAAGCAUUGCAGCUAAUGAGUUAGUUGCGAGAUGAUGUAUUACAGAACGAGUAAAGAGACUUGCCGGUAACGAGAUUGAACUAGGUAUUAAGAUACCGACGAUCGAAUUUUGGGCAAGUAACAUACCGAUGACAAAGGGAACAACGUAUGUUGUUAUGCGGCCUGACCGAUAAAGAUCUUCGUAGAAUAUGUAGGAGCCAAUAUGAGCAUCCAGGUUCCGCUAUUGGUUAUUGACCGGAGACGUGUCUCGGUCAUGUCUGCAUUGUUCUCGAACCUGUAGGGUCCGCACGCUUAACAUUAUGAUGAUAGUUUCAUUAUGAGUUUAUAUGUUUUGAUGUACCGAAGGUUGUUCGGAGUCCGGAAUGUGAUCACGAACAUGACGAGCAGUCUCGAAAUGGUCGAGACAUGAAUAUUGAUAUAUUGGAAGCCUAUGUUUGGACAUCGAAAGUGUUUCGGGUGAAAUCGGCAUUUUACCGGAACCCCGGGAGGUUACCGGAACCCCCUGGUAACCUAAUGGGCCUUAAUGGGCCUAGUGGAGGAAGUAGAGAGGAGGCCUAGGGGCAGCCGCGCGCCCCUCCCCCCAAGUCCGAAUUGGACAAGGAGGGGGGCGGCGCCCCCCUUUCCUUUCCCCUUUUUCUCUCCUUCCCCCCAAGUCCUAGUCCAACAUGGAAAGGGGGGGGGAGUCCUACUCCCGGUGGGAGUAGGACUCCUCCUGGCGCGCCCCUUGCCUGGCCGCACCUCCUCCCCCUUGCUCCUUUAUAUACGGGGGUAGGGGGGCACCCCAUAGACACUACAAUUGAUCAUUGGUCUCUUAGCCGUGUGCGGUGCCCCCCUCCACCAUAAUCCUCGAUAAUAUUGUAGCGUUGCUUAGGCGAAGCCCUGCGACGGUAGAACAUCAAGAUCGUCAGCACGCCGUCGUGCUGACGAAACUCUUCCCCGACAUUCUGCUGGAUCGGAGUCCGGGGAUCGUCAUCGAGCUGAACGUGUGCUAGAACUCGGAGGUGCCGUAGUUUUGGUGCUUGAUCGGUCGGGCCAUGAAGACGUACGACUACAUCAACCGCGUUGUGCUAACGAUUUCGUUUUUGGUCUACGAGGGUACAUAGACAACACUCUCCUCUCUCGUUGCUAUGCAUCACCAUGAUCUUGCGUGUGCGUAGGAAAAUUUUAAAAUUACUACGUUCCCCAACAAGAAGGCCAGUGAAAAAGCAAAGAAAAACAAAAAACUGAAGAAAACAUGAAGAAACAAAGAAAAUGAAAAAGACAAAACAAAACAAAAAGAAAAAAACUGAAAAAAAUGAACUAAAUGAUCGAGCCGAGGAGAAAGCCAGCAAACGGGUACAAAACGAAGAAGAGCCCUGCACUACACAACAGAUUGAAGUGAGCGGCAUGUUCAGGUGAAAUGGCCGCAAUGGGCAACUGCGACCAACCUAAAUAAAAGAACAACAUAAAGUUUCCGUGUAGCUCAGGCUACAUAGAACCUCUUAUCCUCAAUCCUCCAGCCUUACUUUGAGAUCCGUACUCUCCAACUAACUUAUAACAAGAAGAUUCUUUUUUUUUUGUUUCUCUCAAAUGAAACAAUAUAUGAACUUCAAACUUUGCAGAUCGAACAAACAUUAGAACAUUAAUGUGCGAAAAAACUUUUAGAUUUUUUGGACUGAUAUAAAUAUACAAAAUGAGAUUUUGUUUGACUAAAAAUAUUAUUUUAAGUAUUUAAAAUGCAUGAAAAAUCUGAAAGUUUUUUCCCACAUUGUAGUUAGAAUGUAUUGUUGGUCUGCAAAAUUUAAAGUUUAUAUGUUGUGUUAUUUGAGAGAAACAAAAAAGACAAAUGCGUCAGCAUGGAUCGUGAUGCAGAAAUGAAUGGCAAAGAUAAGGGAUACCAUGUAGCUCGAGCUAUAGAAAAUCACACUUAAAGAACAAUCGCUUAAGACUUCUUUUAAAGAACAAUCACUUAAGACUUUUUUUAAAGAACAACCGCUUAAGACUUAUUAUGAGGUUAGGAAAGUAAGAGAAAAUGGUGGAUACAAACAAGGAAGUGUUUCAUUAUCUCGGAUAAAUUAGUCUCUCCCUGAUGGUUUGAGUGGCUCAUUUCAACUUGCGGCACUGUCUCACUAGUUCCUCACUAUUGCCAAACUAGACAUCUAACAUUGGGAGUGAUUUCAGGGAAGGACAGCCCAGAUAGCUAAAUUUCCCAGAGAACUCUCGGAAGCAUAAGAAUUUAUAAAACAAAAAAAACAAUUUUUAGAUAGCACUGCUUUGAUGUAGAUGUGGUCAUGGAAACUAGCAGAGAGAUAGUAAUUCCUUUUAAAGUUUGUGCUGGCAACAGUCUUGUUGCAAAUGGUAGCUCCCUUGGGGUGACACGGGAGGCGAACUAACCUAGCUGCUGCCGCCACCAACUCCCACGUCUUCUUGCCCUCGCCGCUGCCAGAGGAAGCAGGCGGGAAAGCCCCCAGUCCUUCUGAGGACGGCAGCAGCGGGGUGCUCGAUCCCGGUGCGAGUAUCGGCCCACAUGUAGCUAUGGAGUUCCUCUGCUCUGGUGUUGACCGGCGAGUGGCGCGGGCGUCGAGGCGGGGGUGGCAGCGACGCGUCGAGCUAUGGGCCGGAGCACGCGGUGGUCGCGCAGGGUGGUCUGGACGGCGCCGUGCCAGAGCGAGUUCCUGCUGGAUCUAAGGAGGGUCAUUGCCGAGCGGGCUCGUGGUCGGUGCCGCGGCAGAGGAGAAGGGUCAGGCGGGAGUGAGCUUUUCGGCAGCCUCCGGGUUGUAGGCGUAUCUGUGCGCUGGUGUUUGCGAUGACCGUUAGGUGCAUGGUGCCGAUGGUUAUCUGGCGUGGACCGGUGGCAACGACGGAGAUCUAGGCCUCGACGUCCAGAUUUGAAGGUGGUUGUGGCGGACAUUGGGUACGUGGGGCCGGUGGCAGCCGAGCGUUUGACUACGGUGCUGGUCUAGCCCGAGUAGGUGUUUGGCGGUGCAUCGUCGGGUGAACACCUUGUUGUCUGUCUUUUGGCCGGGGCAAGCGACGGCGCCGCCUGCGGGCACUGCUUCCUUUUGGAACGUGUCGCUGAGGCGUUUCUGCUUGCUCCACUAAUCAAGGAAGCUCAGGGAAAACCCUUGAUUCCCUGGGAUCGACAAUGAUCGCGACGUGCAUUGCUCCUCUUGGGGCAUCGUUUCAGGAGCUUCUUACCGGCCAGAGGGACUAGUGAUUGGUGAUGGUUAACGUUCAUGCUGCUUGGUCAUGUCCGUUUGGCAAUUUGGGCGGUAAGGCUUCUGUGGCAACAAUGACCAGUGGUGAGCAUUGUCGGAGGCAUGGCAUUGGUCAUGGUAGUCGGCUCUUCUUCGGCGUGUCUGUGGGAUUGCCUCGGUUACUUGUUGGGGCCCUGGUGGCGUACGAUGACGGGCGACAUGUGGCCCGUGAUCUUCCUUGACGCCGGCCUUGUCUAGUUCUUUGUAGUUCUCCGUCGGAAUUGCAUUGUCUUGUUGUGGGUGGAUGUCGAUCCUCCACCGAUUCACCAUGUGAGUGUAGUGUUGUUCUGUAGUCAAUAGGGUUGUCUUUUUCCUUGAUCUGCGGAUUCUCCCCAUGUUGUUCUUCUGCUGCUUUCUGCUAAAUUUAAUUGAAGUUGGCAUUUUGCUGGAUCUUUAAAAAAAUAUCUUGUUGCAAAUCAAGUUGGGGAAUUUGGGAAGCAACCUAUAUAAUGUAGCACAUGUGAGAGUUGGGAAAAUCAAGAAUGCAUAGCAAGGCUUGACAAGAGUAAACACAAAAUCAAACUAACAAUUGAAACAAUUUAAUAGAGAACCGUAAGAAAAGGCCCGUGCGUCGAUCCGCACAGGCGACACGGGCGGCGAAUCUAGCAGCCACCGGCAGCCACUUCCCCGCCGUCCUCCCCCUCGCCGCCUCCGGGGUGCGCCGCCGGUCAAAGGCCGUGUGGCAGCGGCGGCGGCGGGGCUUCGUCCUCUCCAGGGCGCGGGUGCACCCGUGGCUGGUUCGUGCGGGAGCCAGUGCGUGGUUCGUCCCGUGAGCGGCGCCGGCGGACGGGAGGUCCUCUUCUCCGGCAGGGCGGCGGAUCCGGGGCCCUCUCGCCCGGAUCUGGUGCGGUGGUGGGCGAGCGGCCGUGGGAGCCCCGCGCGGGAGGCUGGUGCGCAGCGGAGGUGCGGAUGGAGUACCCCGUCGUCCUCGCCGGCGACCUCCAGCGGGACGGCGGUCGUGCGGUUGUGUGGCGGGCGGAUCUGGAGCUGCAUCAGGUGGAUCUAGAGCUGGAGCUUGUGUGGCAGCUUCGGGUGGAUCUGGUGGUGGCAGCUCGUGGUGGCAUCUUCGUGCGGCUGGAUCCGGAGCUUCGGGGUGGCAGCCCGUGCUCCUCGCCUGGUGAUUUUGGUCUGGUGGUGUGCGUCGCGCCGGCUGCGGCUCUUUGUGGGAGGUGCUGCAACAACAAGGUUCGAUCAUCCCGCCUUCACUCUGCACUGCGGGCGCUUCGGUUCUGGCCUCCGGUAGGCGUGCGGUGGCACGCGUGGGGCAUGUCGGCGUGCCUGAUGUAUGGCUGCAGCCCGGAACCAUGGUGGUUCUUGGCCUCGGGCAGCGCCCCUCUGCUCCUUGCCGGCAUGGUGCUUGGUAGGGCACGGUGGUUCGCGUUGCGUCCGGUGGCUCUGCGUCCGGCCGGCCAUUGGUGGAUCUGGCAUCUAGUGUUGAUUUUGGCUGUCGAUGGUCUCCGCGAGGUGCGGCUGGCUGAGGCGGUUCGUUGUGCUUCUUCAUCGUUGGAGGGUUCGACGGUAGUGGUGGUUGGCUGCCGUAUUGCUGUAGGAUGUGCUCAAACUCCGGGUGAGACCCCUGCAUCGGCUAUGCUGAUGCCGGCGGCAGCGGCGUCUACGGACAUCAUUUUCCUCGUAGGAGGUGCUAUCGUGGAGCUACAGCACCUACAGUUCUUUGUUUGUGGUCCUAGGGUAAAAACUCAAGAUUGGGCUUGCCGGAUCGGAUGACGAUGUUGUGUGCUCGACAACACUACCUCCUUGGCGGCGUCAUCUUGGAGACCCAAACAACGACGUCUGUUGUUGUGUGUGGUUGUGGGUGGUGCGUUUGGUGGUGGUGGUGGUGCGGCCUACUCAGGACCGAGGGUGGUGUUUCUUCUUCAGGUGUUUCUCUUCGGCUGUCCUAUGUGUGGUCUCCGGCCUGCUUCUAUGCAUGCUCAUGACCCUGUUCUGUUGAGGCAAGCCUCGGGCUCUUGGUCUCGUCUUGGUUCACCUUUGCUCAAUGAUGAAGCAAUGACGCCUCCCCACCUUGCUAAUCGUCUUGAACUUUCGUGGCGGAGCGCUCAGUCAAGGUUCGUGUUAAGCUUUGGCACAAGGUUCGUGUUAAGUUUUGGCACUCGUUGAUUGUGGAUGCUCCUCUGUUGUGCUGUGGGGUUUGAUACACAGGCCGGUGCGGUGCGUUAGGCUGUUUGUAGAGUCUUGGUAUUAUGAUCCCUCGACGCACCUGUAACACCCUCGAUGCGACUAUAUCUCCCACGUGUCGAGGCACGACUUAGAGGCAUAAUCGCAUUGAAGGCAUACAUCGCAAGUGAGGUAAUCUUCACACAACCCAUGUAAUAUAAUAAGGGAAAGAGAUUACAUAGUUGGCUUACAAUCGCCACUUCACACAAUUACAUGAAUAAAGCAUUACAAAAACCAAAUACAAUCAGGGCCCGACUACGGAGCCAAAAUAAAAGAAGAACCCCAAAUGCGACAAAGGUCCCCGAUCGACGCCAACUGGGCUCCACUACUGAUUAACUAGAAGGGAACAACACAAAUGACAAGAUCUUCAUUGAGCUCCUCCUGAGCUUGGUUGCGUCAACUGCACGGUCUCAUCGGCACCUGCAAGCUGGUUUUGGAAGUAUCUGUGAGCCACGGGGACUCAGCAAUCUCGCACCCUCGCGAUCAAGACUAUUUAAGCUUAUUGGUAAGGUAAAGGUAUGAGGUGGAGCUGCAGCAAGCGACUAGCAUAUAUGGUGGCUAACAUACGCAAAAGAGAGCUAGAAGAGAAAGCAAAGCACGGUCGAGAAUCUAUGAUCAAGAAGUGAUCCUAGAACAACCUACGUCAAGCAUAACUCCAACAACCGUGUUCACUUCCCGGCCCCCACCGGAAAGAGACCAUCACGGUUACACACGCGGUUGAUUCAUUUCAAUUAAGGUCGACUUUAGGUUUUCUACAACCGGAUGUUAACAAAUUCCCAUCUGCCCAUAACCACGGGCACGGCUUUCGAAAGUUCAAUCCCUGCAGGGGUGUCCCAACUUAGCCCAACACAAGCUCUCACGGUCAACGAAGGAAUAGACCUCCUCCCGAGACAUUCCGAUCAGACUCGGUAUCCCGGUACUCCAAGACAUCCUCGACAAUGGUAAAACAAGUCCAGCAAGACCACCCGAUGCGCCGACAUCCCGAUAGGAGCUGCACAUAUCUCGUUCUCAGGGCAACACUGGAUAAGCAAUCCAUACAACUAAAACAAGCCCUCGAGUUUCCCCGAGGUGGCGCUGCAAGGGGCUCUAGUUUGGACCAACACUUAGACAAGCACUGGCCCGGGGGGGUUAAAAUAAAGAUGACCCUUGGGCUGGCCUAACCCAAGGGAAAAAAGGCUAGGUGGCAAAUGGUAAAACCAAUGUUGGGCCUUGCUGGAGGAGUUUUAUUCAAAGCGAACUGUCAAGGGGUUCCCAUUAUAACCCAACCGCGUAAGGAACGCAAAAUCCGGGAACAUAACACCGAUAUGACGGAAACUAGGGCGGCAAGAGUGGAACAAAACACUAGGCAUAAGGCCGAGCCUUCCACCCUUUACCAAGUAUAUAGAUGCAUUAAUUAAAUAAGAUAUAUAGUGAUAUCCCAACAAGUAAACAUGUUCCAACAAGGAACAACAUCUCCAUGUUCCAACUAGGAACAAACUUCAAUCUUCACCUGCAACUAACAACGCUAUAAGAGGGGCUGAGCAAAGCGGUAACAUAGCCAAUCAACGGUUUGCUAGGACAAGGUGGGUUAGAGGCUUGGUUCAACAAUAUGGGUGGCGUGAUAAGCAAGUGGUAGGUAUCGCGGCAUAGGCAUAGCAAAAGAGCGAGCAACUAAGCAAGCAAAGAUAGAAGUGAUUUCGAGGGUAUGGUCAUCUUGCCUGAAAUCCCGCAAGGAAGAAGAACGAGUCCAUGAAGGAGUCAAACGGACAUAGACGAACGGGUCCUCACAAACGCGACGUUACCGGAACCAACUCGAAGAACCAAACACCGGAAAAGAGCAAACAACCUAGUAAACAACCACCACAUAAACAUGGCACGAUGCGCAAACAAGUAUGAUGCAUGUCCGGUUUAAUGAUACAUGGCAUGGCAAAGUGCACAAGCAAUCCUACAAAUUAAGUGGAGCUCAAUAUGCAACUCCGUUGCAUAUUGACAAAACACCACAUGCUUGUUUAGGUUCGAUCUCGUUUAUGUACCCAACAAUAUUAAAUGUUGUUAGCAUGGCAAGAGAGUGAAGCAAAGUAAAACUGCCUAUCUAGUCAAGUUUAAAUGAGGCCGGAAGCAACGAACAACAAUUCCGGUAAAUCCCCAUAGCAUAUUUUAGAUUUGGUACUGUUCUGCCCUCAACACAAUUUUAGAGUUGUUUAACAUGCAAAUAAAGGUCACCAUGUUAAACUAGGCAUUUUUCUACCCCAUUUACAUAUAAAGAUUGUUAGGUUUGGAGCUACGGUUAAAUAGUUAUGAAUUAAAUCAUUUUAGCAUGGCAUAGGAGCAAAUUUACACAAACAUCAUUUUAGACAUUUUAAACAUGGAUGAAAAUUGCAUAUUAUGAAACUAGACACAAUUUUAAGCAAGUUUCAUAUAUAACUCAUUUUAAACCGAUGCAUGAAUUGUGAGUUAUUAUAUGCAUGAACAUGAGGGUCUUUUCUGUAAAACUGCGGUCUCAGGAUAAAUAGACAAAUUCACAGAUCCUGAAAAAAAACAUCAACGGGCUGAAUCUGGACAGGAAGCCCAACAAAGGAAAAAAAAGGACGUGCGCUGGGGUGGGCUCACCAUGGGCCUCGGCCCGGCUUGGCAGAGGAGGCCAGCGGCGCUGGGCCUUGCGCGACACAGGGGAGCGUCUGGGUCGGCGGAGAGGAAUCCGACCCACGCGGGAGUCAACGCGAGCGGGCGCGAAGCCCGUCUCCUCGAAGUGAUGACGGCGGCGGCAUAGUGCGGCUCCGGCGAGGGCGCCGCACGGGGAAACAACGACAGGCGCGGCCAGCGAUGUAGGGAACGGGCAGAUCCAGGCGAGGGGUCCCGGAUCCGGUAGAGGCGAGCCCAAGAGGUGACCGGCGUCGACGUAUGGGCUCCGGGGUCGGGCGGCCAUGGCGGAUCCUGCAGGGCGAGGGAGAGAGAUGUGAGGUCUGGGAGAGAGAUGAGAAGGAGAGGAAAAGGGAAGGGCACGGGGCGGCGAAGGGAGGUCCGGCCUGGGGUCAAGGUCACCGGCGGAUGCUGCGGCGUGCUCCGGCGAACGAGGUAGACGAGGCGACGGAGCACAGGCGCUCGGGAUCCUCCCCGCGGGAGGAAGACGGGGCGCUGGGGGCGGAGGCGCUUGGGCCCAGAUCCAGCCCAAGGUGGGCCGGUUGCGGGCUCGGGCGGCCGCGCGGGGUGGAGGAGGCUGAGAGGCGACGUGGCGGGCUCCUAGUGGAUGCAGGCGGCGGCGCUGGUGGCGGCUACCCACUCGGGCGGCGCCAAGUGGCGAAGCAGGGGUGGCCGGCGCCGGAAAUUGAGGAGAGGAGGUGGGAGGCGGCUGGCUGAUGAUUGGGGGCGCGGAUUUCGAGGAGGAGGAAGGAGAAGGCCAAAAAUGGCAAGGGGGCUGCUAUAUAUAGCAGGAGGAGCUAGGGUUGGGGGUUUUUGAAUUGUUUCAGAGCCUCCGAUCGUGAUCUGACAGCCCGGAAUGGAGGGGGGUUUAGGUGGGCUGCAAGUGGGUUGUGAAAAGAGGUUGGACUGAGAUGAGAGGAGAGGAGUGCAGCCCGGCAACUGUUUCCGGAGACCAAAAACGUUCGACGUUAGACCGACUAUAAUGUCGCUAUAGUUAUCCGUUGGGGCGUCAAACGAACUCCGAUUGCGAUGAAACUUGGCAGGCGGUCUACCUACACUAUAACAAGACCACACGUCAACUUUCAUCCCAAUCCGAGAACAUUUUCCGGCCACUUAUAAAAUACUAUUUCGGACAUGCCGCGGGCGCGUGCAAGUGUGACUGGACUCAGAACGGACAACGGACGGAACUGGGGAAACCCGGACGGAUGCAAGUUUUGAAAACAUGAUGAUGCAAUGCGGAUGAUGACAUGACAAGAUGCAACACGCAAUCAAAUGACAAGGCAACAACGGCGAAUAACUGGAGGACACCUGGCACAUCAGUCUCGGGGCGUUACAGCACCCCACAUCUACCUGGUCGUGUUAGUAUGCUAGUUAUGUCUUGCCUUAUGUUGGGCGUCUUGUUCCUCUCCUUUCCUUGUAACAUUUGUUACUUGUCUGGUUUUCGGCUCGGUUUUCCUCAUAAACGGGGUCAAUUUGUUAAGGUUUUCGAUCUGGUUUCCCUUAUAAACUGGAUCACUCUCCUGGCAUUAUGGCCACUUUGAGUAAUAUAUUUAGAUGGAGGGACUCCUCCCCCGGUGAUUCUCAAAAAAAAUACAAUUUAAUAUGAAAUGGUUUGCAAGAAGCGGCUAAGCAACAAAUAACAAUGUAAACCAGCAAGCAGGCACGGAGAAGCUUAGAGACAAUCAAACAUCACAGACAACCGCAGAAUAUCAUACUCAAGUUUAAGAUGAUGAUAAUGCUAUUAGUAUAUACUGUACAUGCCAUUGCCAUUGGUUCAUCGGCACCUCUUAACUUAUAAUACUAAGAUACGCAUAUACACACACAAAGGUGGAUCGCUAACAUAGAUGUCCUCCGAAUCGAUCAUCUACUAGUGUAGACAGAUAGCAUUGGUAAAACCUCCUUCAUCCCAUUUAGUCAAAUGAAAUUACAAGAUCAACAAUCUCACACCAGAACAAGGCCAUCAAACACCAUGGGAACCCUCCCCUCCCAGCUUGCGGAACAAGUCGGUGUAAAUCCUGAGCUUCUCGUCCGAGUCAUCAUCCGAGUCCUCCUUGGCCUCCUCCGGGUCGCGGCGCAUGUAGGCGUAUUCCUCAGUGGAAUAGUCCGUGUACGUCAACCAUGGAUUGUCAGACUUGAUCUUCUCGGAUUCAGCGUUGUAGUCUGCGAUUAGCCUGGCCAUGAACUCAUCGUGGUCCAAGCUCGCCUCUUCGUCCGAGUCGCAGUCAUCGUCCGAGUCCUCCACCUCCUCCUCCGCCUUGGCCUGGACGGUGAAGGCCGCCUCCUCCUCUGUCUUGGCCUUGACGGUGAAGGCCGCCACCUC
rnacentral:lncRNA from 1 species